UUUUUUUUAAGUCUGCAAGCUCAAAAUAACCGCAUACCAAAUCAUAGUUUAUCUAGAAAUGCUCACAUACGGCAGUAGUUCUAAUUUAAAUAUUACAAUUCAACAAAUUUUUCAAAUUAAAGUAGUUUAAACUUGAAUUCAACUAGCACAUAUGUACUAGUUGUCCCCUUAACCGCCCACAUAUGUCCAAUCAAAUAUUCCUUUGGUUGCUCAUGAAUUGCUCGAUGUCGAAUUUAUUAAUGCAUUUAAACAAAUUCAUCAAACGUGUCCAGAUUCUGUUCUGAAAGUUCGAUAGGAUCAUCCAUAUUCUCAAAUUCAAGAGUUGCGUCAGCUCCUCCAUGAUCAUAUCGUGCAUGAUCACACAACAUGUCAUCACCUCUCACAAGGUCUCUGGAUCCAAUUAUUUACAGGUCCAUGAACAGUUGCAAAAUGAGUCUGGAGAACUCCAAAUGCUCUCUCAACAUCCUUUCUAGUUGCUUCUUGUUUUUUGGGCAAAGUGAAACCUUUUUGACCAAGUGGGUCAUUGAUGGUCUUGACAAAGAUAGCCCCGGAAGAAGAUACCGUCAAUCAGAUAGUAGUUCAUGUUGUAUUCAUGCUAAAUGACAGUAUAGUUGCAAGGAGAAGCUUUUCCUUCAGUUAGCCUAGCAAACAAUGGAUAUCGUUGCAGCACAUUAAUGUCAUUGUCAGACUCGGGCAUUGCCAAAGAAAGCGUGCCAAAUUUAGAGAUCAUGUGAUGCACCUGCUUCAGAAAUGAUGGUGGGCUUCUUAAUAUGGCCCUAAUAUUGCCCUUGUAGAGCUUUUUGGCAGUUCUUCCAUCUCCAAUGCAUGCAGUAAAGAGAUCCGAGCAAACCUGGUCACACUCUUUCUUCGGACAUUGCCAAGAGCCUCUCGGUGUCUGCAACAGUUGUUUCUCUGAAGUAUUGAGGUCCAAACACUGAGACCACGACAAUAGCAAACCUAACCAUGGUAUUUCUGCAUGUGCUCUUAGACAUACGUAGGUAUUUGUCCCAUGAACCAAAGGCCGUGCCAUAUGCAAGAUUUCGCUAUGCGGCCGUGCACUUCUGGAACCAGAGAAUCCAAUCCUUCUUAUGGCAUCCUUCUUCAAGAUGAAAUAGUCAUCAAAGGACCGAACGCCAUGGUAGAGACGAUCAAAGACAGUUAUUCGCAUCCGAAAGCAUCAGCGACAAUUUUCUGCGAAUAGAGCAUCGGGGGAAAGUAGUCGUCCAUCAGCGUCAAAUGGCCACGUGCCCUGUUUCGAUUGAGCACUCAAUGACUUUUGAUCGAUCCCUUGAAAUUGAGAACAUCUCUUCUGCACGCUCCCCGUAUGCAAGGACCACCUACAUUGUUGUCGUCACAUCCGUGUAGUCCUCUGCGUUGGACAAAUCAUCGGACGACUCAGUGUAUUGCUCGUAUAUGUACUCCAUAUCUGAAUCCAUUGCCCCCAAAGAAGAAGGGGCAUUUAACCAAACACUUUUCAGGUGUGGUGACUACCGUAGGGGCGGCUGGUACCUACGCCAUAGACGAACAAGAGGUGAGCACCGGCGGUGGAGGACAAGCAACAUGGAGUCCGGUGUAGAAGUGGAUCUCGCGGAGGUCGCGGAGUUCCGAGAAGGGUUUGGCGGGCGACCGGGGUGGUGGAGUGGCGGCAGCGGCGAGAGAGAAAAUGGUUGCAAAGAAAGAGGGAAGGAUGGAGAGGCAGGUCCAGGAGGUGUUUUGGGUGGGACUUUGGGUGGCCUGGGGCUGUCGGAGUUCUACGUGGCUGCUAUCCGAACACCUGCAAAGCCCCCCUAGUUUGUUUCUGACUUGCGGAAAAAAGAACGUUUGGAUCGGUCGAUGGAUGGAUGCAGGGAUGCGUUGGAUGGCAAAAGAUGUCCGGACCGUGCGGUCCGGACGGAUGCGGGCGGUUUGAGGGUCCGCUUUGCAGGCGCUCUUAAACCAUAUCGCUACUUGUGCAGGACACAAACAAUGUAAAAAGUUAAACCCUUGCAAUACCAGUGACGACUAGAUCGAUGUUUCAUCCUUUCUACAACCAAAAUACCUUUCCCAACACCACGUGGUCUACGGGCCACUGUUGAUCGACCGACUCCGGCAUAGCCAUGGCCGCCACCAUUGCCACCAUCGAUGUCGUCAUCACAAUCUACAUCGUCAUUGGUUCUCCAUUUUUGUCUUCAGAAGGAGAAUAUCCCAUUGACAAGUGUGCCCCAUAUGUCAUGUUGAGUAUUGAGGGUAGGUUUAUUGGGAGCUACAAAAUCAGCCCACCUAAACCCCCACAUUUUCUUUGCGAGAAUGCUAGGGUCAUAUAUUAAAAUUGUCCAAUCCUUACAAGGCCAUCCUUAUAAAAAUAGAUACUGACAUAUUGGUCCUUUGAUAUAUCGACAUCGCUUUCCUCCUGCACUCGGCAAUGGCGCGUCGUGAGCAAGGCUUGAUGCCCCCCUCUGGAUCUAUGAAACACCUUCAGAUCUAGGGUAACACCUGAUGCAACGACUAGGAAGUCGCCAAUUGGAGCUCGAAGAAGCCGAUGACACUGAACUGAGGAUAAAUCGUCGUUCCAGAGAAUAAAGUGACAAGGAGGGUUGGACAACCAUACAUGAUCUGUCCAGAUAGAACUUGAGAGCCAUAACCUCGAAGACCACCUAGAAAAAUAUAGACAGAAAAAGGGGCCCCAAUCUGGCGCAGACCAAAGCACAACACACCCUGUGUUGGUGUCCUGGAUUAGAGGUGCUUGCCACGUCGGCCUGCUAAUUAUGGGUCGGGCCGAUGACCCACCGAAGACUGACGAAUGGGCCAUGCUAGCCCUGGUCCAUGGCGUAAUCAAGAUGAAGAUCUCUUGGAGGCUUGGCGUACACUUUAAGCAUAUUUGUAUGAUCGGCAUGCUUAUCUCUAGAUUGUAACCGACCAUGUGUAAACCCUAGGUACCCAUGUCGUCUAGUCUAUAGAGGCACGGUUACGCAGUUUUAGAGCUUAGAACAUCUUCAUAUGAUCUCGAGGUAGAUCAUAUUGUACUUUGUACUCCAUCACAAUCAAAAAUAUAAGAAGCGGGACAUAGGGUUUUACCUCAUCAAGAGGGCCUAAACCUAGGUAAAACAUUACCAUCUAGCUCAGAUCACCAAGCUUGAGACCCCCUACCCGAGAUCUGCCAGUUUUAGAAGCGACACCCUCCAUGGAUGCCAAUCGGCAUCGUUGGAACGAUUACAAGAUGGACAUAAUUUAUUUCACGCCGCUAAUGACGACAUCGCCUCGCCACCACCGACUAGACACAUAGAAUGAACCCUAGCCAGGACUAGAGAGACCCAGACUCCAAGAUCAAUGAGAUCGGGGUUCCACCACCUCGACGAUUUUGUAAGGCACCUAGAGAUGAUGAUUGCUACAUGGGACACCCUAGCUGCAUGUUUUUCAUGAGGGAGAUGAAAGAGUUCCCCGAGAAAAUAUCGGUAGAGCUCCACUAACCACUUAUUGGUGACUGGAUGGAGAUGCUCUAAGUGCUAACCUCUACCAAACACACGCCCCACCACACCUUAAGCCCCUCCACAACAACCCCACCCCAAACCCCCAUCCAAAGCUCACCUAACCCCUCUAUUUCACUCGCUCUUUGACCCUGUUGUCGCAUUUCUCUCUGUUAUCUCUCUACUUAGAUGUCCUACUUCUCUCCAUCACCUCUUUAACCUUGUCGGCUUCCUUUCCCUCAACUUUCUUCCAUCUUGGCCGCAAACAUUGUCCCCCUUCAUCUUCUCUUUUGUACGUAAUCGCCUUCCUCCUCACAUGUCCAAACCGCCACCCUCACACAUGUAGUAGUGGAGUAGAGCCCCAUCGAAGAUAAACCUAUCUAUGGAUGGGAUCUUCUCGGGGUAUCUCCCCUAUCAAAUAAGAGCAUCUCUAGCCCUUCGCCUAUAAUCAUUUAAUCCCCUAAAAAAUUAGGGAAGUAACCCCCACCUAGUUUCUCAUGUACCUUUAGUUCCUCAAAAUUCUAGCUUUUCAUCCCUCAAAACAUAGCUCUUCAUCCUGAUUUUGCUCUAAGAAGAGGAACUCUCAGUAAAAAUAGAGCCAACCUCCUCCCCCUCCCCUCCCCAACACACACGCCAAAAAAUAACCCCUCCCCCACACUCAUAGUGCGCCAGCCAAUGUGUUGCCUGAUUGGCCAGCUACAGGUUAUAAAUCGACACUGGCUCUCCUCCAAACCAGACUCCCUAGCCGCCACCACCAUUUCCACUCUUUCCCCAUAGGAUUCCCAUUGCCAUCGCCGUAUUCGAGCUUGCCGCUGUCGUGCCUAAAUCGUGCCACCCUACACUCGUUAUUGCACCCUCGGGAUAUUGUGUCAUCGCCUGAUAUAGUAUAUCAUGCUCUCAUCUGAGCGACGCGCCCAACUUGUCUCAGAGGACCGCACAUAUAUGACAAUGCGUGAGGCAUCAAAAGCCGCCGAUAGAUAUCCGAUCUUGGAGGAGGGAAGGAGAACGAUGACAGUAUGGAGGUGGAGGAGGAGCUCGUCGCUGUUGGAUUCGAGCUCAUCGGCAUGGACGGGGAGCAAUCCAACACAACGGAGGAGGGUGGAGCGCCAUCUGCCUCCUCUUGUGGGAGGAGGUAGAGACAUGGUACCAUGCCGCCCUCGUCAAGGAGGUGAAGCACCAUACAGCGGAGGUGCAAGUCGAAGUCAAGUGUGCCGCUAUCGUCAUCAUGGUCAAGCUCCUUGCCAACCUAGACCUCGUCGUCGAGAAGGACACCAACCUUGGGUUUGUUAAUGAUGAGGGAGCAAAUGUUCACCUAGCUUGACGACAUGGACUCUGACUCUGAUGACAUGUCAUGAAUUUUCCCAAUCGCCAAUGCCACAAGACCGGUGGCUCCGGCACCACGGUGAUAGAGCUCUCCUCUGAUGAGGAGUAGUGGUAGUUUAUUUAUCUUGUUUUAGAUCAUUGUAGUGUUUACAUAUGAUAUGCUUAUGUUCAAUGUGAUAGUAUUGCAUUAUUAUGCAAUGUAUCCAGUCUAAAUUUAUAUGAAAAUUUGAGCAUUCUAGUGGGUCAUAGAUGGGGUUGUCUAUGGUAGUGUAAAAGUAAAGUAGAACUAUUUUGGGUUGACUGGCAUUUGAUGGCAACUAGUAAUUAGUAACGGUACAUUGAGUACAACAUUAGGUGAUUGUGUGUGAAGACGUUCGGUUCAUAUUUUUAUGAAACUAAUUAUAAUUCUCUUGAUUCAAUGCAGAUAGAUGAGAUAGAGGAAGAGGUGGAUUCUGUAGUGGAGUCUUUUACGAAGAAAGGGUCAGGAAAGAAUAAGUAGCAGGUGUAUAUGGAGAGCAGCAAUUCGGUGCCCAGGCUCAUCUGCACCUGCAAUGAAGGAUUUUUUUAAACAAAUGCUAGAAAAAAUUAAGAAAUUCCAAUUUUCUUUGCAUGGUAGAUAAUUUGAUGCGUGAGGUGCACUCCAAAUUUCAGAUCAUUUGGACAUCUGAGUAGCUCUCGGCAAAAAAGACAGGGUCUAUAAAAAAAUUACUGUUCAUGUAUUGUUCUGACCUAAUUUGUCUAUUUUAUGGUUGGUUGACGGUCAUUCAUAGUGUUAUAUGUUGGAAAUAUGCCCUAGAGGCAAUCAAGUCGAAUGAACUUUCUGUUUGUUUACGAUGUUACUAAUAUAGUACUUAAACACUAUCAGUAAUAUAUAUUGAAAAGUGUGUGACUUGUAUGUGAGACUAUGUAUUGUAUGGUGUUUUCUAAAAGGUCCCUAGUCAGUAGAAGGAUGAGACCAAACUCGCACCCGGCUAGACUGUCAUACAACAUAGUAGAUAGCUUGAUCUCACUGGCCAUGUAGCACUAGAUUCUAGCCGAAUAGCAUGGACUUGAAGGGAUCUGAGGUUAGCUCCUUGAAGUCCGAACUGACUCAAAUAACUUGUCAUGUCGGAUAGACCCAACGAUGGGACCCAGCAAAAGUUCAUCUACCAGUCUCAAGUACGACAUGUGUUAUGUGUCCAAGACCUGAGGUCGAUGCAUGGACUCGAGACGAUGACCAACCUACUUAGGGCCGACCAUAGGGCCGACCAAACGCUACUCCAUUAUUGAGCAGUUAUAAAGUUCGGUUUUGCGCUGGUACAAACUCAUGCCAUGAGAUAUGGCGAAUUAAGAAAUGAUUUGCCCCCUCCGACUUGGGGAGAUAUACUUUGGACCCCUCAUGUGAUCCGACUCGAAUAAGCAUGACCAUGUGACAUGGAUUAAGUGUUAAUCCGGUUUCGGGUGUUGGCAUCACAUGACGAAAAAGAAGUUGGGCUGCACAAGAAUGACCGAUUCACCUUGAGCCCGACAACAUAUCAUGAGCCAAAAGGAACACACAUUGUACUGGUUCACCAGAUCGGGUUCAUCGAACACUUGGAGUUUACAUGUUUUUCUAGAAGCAGCUAUCAGCUAGUCGAGUUGGAUGUGAAUCUAACUCGCGACCAUGUCUAUAUGAACCUAAUGGUUGUGUGCUUAAAGAAAGGAACCCAUGAGGUCAGAUCCAACUUUGCAGGUCGGAUGUGAUCCAACCUGAACUUGGGUCUUGGGAUGAGUAGAUCAUGGGUCGUGGAGUCCUAGUGGGACUCAUGUGUUGACUAUCCUAGUGGGACCAACACUGUCCUUGAAUCUCAUGUGGUAGUGUUUGAUGUCGCUCUUUUCCUAAGAUGGUCUCAGAACCUAUAUUAGAAGGCAUUCGCAAGUAUUUUUCAUUCAUAGUUUGUGUUUGGACAUUGAGUGCUUUAACCUCUUAUCUAACAUUUGUUGGGCAGCCCUUUCUGAAAUACACCAAAGACUUGCUAUUAUUAAUGCUUUGUCCGGAAGCCUAAGAGUAAGACUCAAGAAGGUUUGACACCUUUGUCUCCCCUGAAUGUUUGCCUUCAAAAAAAGCAGGCUAUCAUCUGCAAACAACAAAUGGUUAAUAGGCGGCGCCGAUUGAGCAACUUAGAUUCCAUUGAGCCGAGACAAUUGAUCUCUGGAUUUGAGGAGGCCCGAGAGGCCCUAUGCUGUUAACAAGAAAGAUUAGGGUGAAAUUUGGUCUCCGUGCCGAAUACCUUUGGUGGGUUUGAACUCGUCAAGCUUCUUGCCAUUGAAUAAAAAUGAACAAGUGACGGAGUUAACCAUACUCAUUACUAUAGAAACCUAUAUGUUAGAGAAACCAUGCUUCAGCAUUAUUACUUCCAAAUAUGGUCACUCAAUUCUAUUAUAUGCCUUCAUCAUGUCCAACUUAAACGCACAAUGAUGGUGUUUCAGAGCUUUGUUCCGCUUCAUAAAAUGCAAACACUCGUAGGCCACAAUUGUGUUAUCUGUGAUGGGACGCCUAGGAACAAAAGCGGACUGUUGCGAUGAGAUGAUCUCAAGAAGUACCACUGUCAACUGAUUAGCAACAACUUUGGAUGCAAUUUUAUAGAGCAUGUUGCAAAGACUAAUGGGGUGAAACCUGGUCAAUGAGGUAGGAUUUCUUACCUUUGGUAUAAGAACCAAAUAAGUUUUGUUAAUGCUCUAAGCACUCUCUUCGUCUUCCACAAAUUGCAGGACUACCUUCGUCACCCCAUCUCCACAAAUAUCUCAGUGCUUCUAGAAGAAGUGAGCUGAGAAGGCAUCAGGACCCGAGGCCUUCGUAGGAAAAUUUUGAAACAAUGCAGUCUUUUCCUUCGUUUUUAGAGAUGGGCUACUCGAAGGUUGGACAAGUGAAGCACUAAUGGACCGGAGGGUAUCCUCAUGCCAUGUUCCAUUAGUGGGGAUAGAACUAAUGGACCGGAGGGUAUCCCCAUGUCAUGUAUCUUUCAGGGACUGGAUAGAGGAGAGAUUUUAGGCAAGUGCAUGAGUGAUGUAUUAUAAAUGUAUUAAAAAGUAUUCGUCGUGUAUUAUAAUAUACUAGCAAGAUGCUCGUGCAUUGCACGGAACAUCAAGAUGUUUUUUUUAUAAAACACAUGUUGUGAUUGACCCAUGCGGGAGUAAUCUCAUGUGUAAAAACUAAUUAUAUCUCGAGAAAGAUGAGAGAUAAGGUGAGGAUGAGUGGGGCGUGGUGGUGAUUGGUGAUCGGACUGAGCGGAGCCAUGGGGAUGGACGACGCCGGCAGCGGUCACCAUGCCAGAUUGUUCUAGAGACUUCAUUUUUUAAUCAGCAAUGAGGUUGUGGGAGAAAAGGAUGGACGAAGGAAGGUCUUAUCUGCAAAUGUGGAGAGAGGUGAGGGUAUCUUUUUGCAAAAUUGUCAUAGUUUGCUUUCUAUCCGUUAAAUAUAGAUCGGACGGUCUAUAUUGCAAGAUGGCAGGCACACCAUUAUCACCAACUCGGUUUUUUAUAAUGUUCAUCAUGUUUUUCUAACGAUGUUUAUUGUGUAUUGAAAAAAUGUUAGUUGGUUGUUUAAAAAAUAUUCAUUGUGUAUUCAAAAUGUACCAAAAAUCGUUCCUAGUGUAUUAUAAAAUGUUCAUCAUGAAAAAUGUUCAUCAUGUUUUUCUAACGAUGUUUAUUGUGUAUUGAAAAAAUGUUAGUCGGUUGUUUAGAAAAUAUUCAUUGUGUAUUCAAAAUGUAUCAGAAAUGUGUAUUAGAAAAUGUUCGUUAAACCGUAAGGAAUUUGGAGACUCUACAUGAAUAAGUUCUGUCUUAUUGACAUCAUUUGCAUCAUUUCCAGAAGUGAUAUGAAACAAAAACACAAAAUAUGCUCUAUGCCACUCGACGGGGUUCACGCCACUUUCAAAACUAUUCCUUAAACAAAAGGAAUGUAAAAAAUUGGUCCAUAUCUUUCCAAUGGCAUAACAUAUGCAUCAUUCCGACGAAAACGCACAAAAACGGUUCAUCCAACGAGCAGUUCACAACUUUCUACGUUAUACAAUUUCAGGUUAGUCUGCUGCCGUUCUAAACUGGCGUACAAAAUAGUUAUUCUACAAUACGCGCGUGUGUGUGAACUCUUUUCAGAAUUUUUUGAAGUGCGGGAAAAUAUUUUUGACGAUAAAAGAAAAUAAAGGUCUCCCUUUUCGCUGCUAGCGCUCGGCGGAAGAAAAGCAGCCGCACAUUUUUCCACGGACCAUUUUCGCUUGUUUAGAGGCUGCAUAAGGAGUCAAUUUUAGAAUAAAAAGAGACAACACAGUACCACCUUCAGAUUAUGGACAACAAAAAACGGCCAAUUGCAUGCAUGCACAGAAACCAAACUAAUGAACCUAGUCGGAUAUCACGCUCGUUCGCUGGGACCCAUUUCUCUCCAUGACAGCCCAUCAUCAUACUGAACCGCGCCCGCUUGGCCGGUAAACAGAUUUAGCUCUAAGAGCAUAUAUGCACCAAGAAAUCAUCGUCAGUCAAAUAUCUCCUGGGAUUCAAUUUUGCUGUGUUGUCUGCAAGGUUCGGUCAAAGGUACACCAUUAGCACGGAAAACCAAAUACUGUGAGAUUGAAUAUCUUCAUCUUAUUCUACUCCACAGGCCAAAUUUUUAGAUCCAGCACCCAUUUAUGAAUAUUCGAGGUAAGAAACCAAAUAAUAUCAACAGCUAUGCGUGCACUCUCUCGUCCACACGAUUCUGAACAAAAACGCAAAAAUGCAGAAUUGCAAUGUCAUGCAAACAUUUUGAAUCCUACAGAACUGAAUUUGCAGAAAUGCUUGUUUGAUUGUAGUAUCAUACUCCUGGUCAAAUGGUAUUUUUUCCCAAGAAGUUUGAGUCAAUGGUAUUUUUUCUAUUAAAUGCAGUGCAGUGGAAUGCUUAGGAAAAAUCCUGUGGUGUACGAUCCUACAAAUCAAAGAAUCAUCAUUAGGAGAAUUUCCCAAGGAUUAAAACUGUCCAGAAUUCCGACGAACAUCCUUUGAGGGCUUGCUUGCACGAAAGCGCAAACAUUGGAAGUCCGGAGGCAUGAAAAAGAUUCAAGAAAAAACUGUGUGAACUCACUGCUCAUCCUUGGAAACUCGGUAGUACUUCUCGGCAAGCUGCCUCUGACCAAUAAGCUGAGCAAACCGCUCAUCAUGGGUGAUUACAAUCAGCUGGAAGUUCUCCUGGCCUUUUCUGCUUUCCAUUAUUCUAUGGCACACACAAGAGACUCAGUUAAUGGUAAAAUAAGCUCCAAAAUGAUAAUAUAAUUGCCAUGCCUAAGGUUUACCUCAAUAGGGCAGCAGCUAGGCUCUCCGCAUUCGGCCCGUCAAGAUUGGUGGUUGGCUCAUCCAGAGCUAAUAUGCCGCAAUUCAGACAGAAUGUCUCUGCCAGUGCCAGUCUGAUUAUAAGAGAAGCAAGAACCUGAACAGCAGUGGAGAUAACUUUGAGAUAUGAUUCUCCAUGUUCAACAGAUUCAUAAGGUCGUGCUACCAUUAUUCGAACACAGUUAUUGGUUCAAACAAGACUGCAAAGAAGAUGUUACUACAGCAACCGAAGUUUACGAUGACAAAAGAAACAAAACAAAGUUCACCUUCUGGCCAGCACUGCAUCGCCCUCGCAUUUCCAGCUCAGCACCACCAUUUUGCAUGACAACCUACAAGAUGGUUCAAGCAGGCAAAUGUAACAGCGGUCCAAGCAACUCGGAUCGUCAAACGUGUAGCUAAUUUAACUUACACGAUAGCUAUAUGAUCGAGUGCCUGCACCCUCGGAGUCAGAACUGAUGCUUAUGCAAUCAAUAUCUUGGCCGUAUGGAGUACAUCAGGCUCUCUGGCGAUAGCCGAGGCGACCCACGACCGGGUCAACAUGGAGGCGCCGCCGCCGGCGGCGGCCGCGAUGAGCGGCGAGGGGUGGGUGGCCUCCUCGUUGAGGACUGGAGCACCUUCAAGGCGCGCGGAAGGGACCUUCUCUCCCGAGCGAGGAACCCGCAGAAGUUACUGCGGCGGAUGCAGAGCAGGGCUGCGAUGCUUCUCAAAUCUGAUUUGGAUGCGGCUAAAUUGAAAAGGGAGAUGACCGGAGGUACGGAUGCGGGACAAGGGGCGGCGAUCCAGCCGGCGGAAUUAAGGGUCCAGGCUUCAAAUCCGGUGAGUAAUGAGGAGGAUUUGGGGGCCGUUUCUGAUGGGUUUGGUUUGAUUUUCAAAAGGGGAUCAGGAAUGAGGCCGGACGAGGCUAAAGGAAUUAACAGGGGAGUUAAUCCUGUUAAAUUGGAGGCGAAAUUUGAGGAACUCCAAGCUUAUUUCUUGCGGGGGGGUCGGCUCUGUUUUCUUCAGUCUACAGUGUUCUGCUCCAUACCAGUUUCUUCUGUUGCUCUGUACUUUCUGUCCAUGGCAGGCCAAGGCGAGGAUCAAGGUCGAGGAAUGAUGAACCUGACCAUUGCUGGGUCGGGUGAUGGUGGUGCUGGGUCCAGAACCCCUGAGGAAGGGCCGGCCGCAAUGCAGCCAACGGCGACCCCAGCCACGCCCACGGUCGGAAAGGGAAGGAGUGAUGUCGGGGGUCCGUCAGGCCUAGCCCUGACCACUCCCCCGAACCCCUCCGUUGGCUUCACUUCUGCUUCGGAGCGCCCUCCUCCUCUCCGCAGGCAUGGCAAGGCCAAGAUGGUCGAGUUCGAUGACUCGCCAAUCGUCAUCGACAUGGAGGCAAUGGUGAGUGCGGUCAAGGGAAAGCUGGCUGUGGGGCGAGUGCUCUCCCCGUACCCAGCCAAUCCUUCGGCCGUCGUCAAUGAGCUCAAAGGACCCUGGCGGCUUCGUGGUGAUGCGAGGGCCCAGAUGGUCACGAGCAUCGACAAACGCUUCGUGGUGGAUUUCACGGAGGAGGGGGAUCGGCAGCAUGUCCUGGCUGCUGGUCCUUGGCACUUCCACAACGACGUCGUCAUCUUCGCCGACUUCGACGGCCAGGGCAACCCAGCGGAGGUCGACCUCAACUCCAUCAGAUUGUGGGCACAAAUCCACAAGCUGCCCUUCGUGUUGAAGACCGAGGAGAUGGGGUGGACUUUCGGCAAGAAGCUCGGCAAGGUCAUCGCGGUGUCCCACCGGAACAAGAUGAUCCUUGACGAGCAUCUCCGCAUUCGAGUGGAGCAUAAGGUGGACACGCCGCUGAAGAAGGAAGUUGGGUUCACUCCGGUCGGCAGCAAGGACGAGAUCACGUUUAAGGUGAAAUACGAGAAACUUCCAAAUUUUUGUUUCUGUUGUGGCAUCCUGGGCCACACUACGGAAAGAUUCUGCAGCAUGCCAAAGGAACUGCGCAAGCCAAACUUCUCCAUCGACAUGAUUCCUCGACUUCGGAAGCACCGGGGCAAAGUUGUCGGACAGAGUCAUUUCGGCGGUUUCCAAGGCUGUGCGCAACCUUUCAGUGGCUGCGGCAGGCUCGGGUCCUUCUUCAGAUGUUGCGGGAAAGGUGGCGGGGGAUGCGGGUACCCAGGAGGGGUUGCCGGCGCCCCCGAACCAGUUGGUGGCAAGCCAAGUUGAUCAUCCUCAACUUCAUGUGCCUAGGGGGGGCCUCAACAUCAACCUGGUCACCCCUGGGUCAUCUCCUGCGGAUGGAGGUGGACACAAGAGGAAUUUGGAUGAUCCUGCUAGGGCCUCUAUGGCUCUGAUCCAAGACCAGGCGAGUGAUGCUACUGAUGUUCCUAUGCAGCAGCGGCCUCAGGAGCAGGCUGGGGGUGCAACUGCUGAGGUGCAUGCACAGCCGGGGCACCAGCUGACCCUGGCUUCUGCUGCUGCUGUGGGCGUGCAGCUGCAGCGGCUUGAGGGCGAAGCUCAGGUUCAGGUGGCCAUUCACAAGGAUGGUCGUGACGAUGGUGCUGAUGUUGGCGCCCAAUGGCAAGCCCUCACUUCUGCUGGAGUCCAGCGGUGGAAAAGGCUUCACCGACAAGAACAGGACGAGAAGGUUAUGCUGCAAGCCGCAUGUGUUAAACAUGCGGUUUUUGGCAUCCCCACUCCGCCGAACAGCGGCAGCGAUCUUUCCGGCGGCAAGGCGGCCUUUGCUGCAAUGCUUGAGGGCACGGCUGGUAGCAAGAGGCGCUCACCGGAUGAAGACAAGGACAUGGUUCUUAGCAUGAAUAGCUCCAGUACUAAUAGCAUAGAGUUUAGGGUGCUCUAGAUAUGAGUAUGACAUGUAAAAGUGUGUGUGUUGAGAGAGUUGAAUCUGUAGUAGGCAUAGAAGGCUCCACUGUUCAUAUUACAGAGGAGAUAGUUGUGGGAGAGGAGGAGGAUCAAAAUAGGAGAGAGUCCGUAGGCGAUGGUAAGGAAAUUGGGGGUAUAAGCAAGGAAGCUACCGGCCCUGGGGCUGCCGGUCAACUGAUGGGCGCACUUGAUGACGCCCGUCAGGAGCCAUGAAAAUGAUAUGUUGGAACUGCCGAGGCUUAGGUCAGCCUCGAACAGUUCAAGAACUUGUGUGCCUUUCAAAGACACACCGGCCUAACAUUAUCUUUCUUUCUGAAACAAGAAAAAAUAAAGAGUAUGUUGAGAGUUUGCGCUACCGCUUGGGUAUGAAAAAUGUUUUUGCUGUUUCUAUGCCAGGCAAAGGAGGUGGAUUAGCGGUCUAUUGGGAUGACCUGUACACUUUGGAGUUAAACAAAUAUGGGGAACAUUUUAUUGACAUGUACAUUUCCAACGAUGCUGGCACUAAGUGGAGAUGCACUUUUAUCUAUGGGGAGCCGAAGGCGAGCCAAAGGUAUGUUAUGUGGGAAUUGUUAAGGCGUAUAAAACCUCUUGGGUCGGGUCCAUGGUUUAUGGCUGGUGACUUUAAUGAGGCUAUGUGACAAGAUGAACAUUUUUCUCGGAUCAAAGGUCACCAAAACUUAUGGCUAAUUUUCGUGAGAUCAUGUCUGAAUGCAACUUGUUUGAUUUGGGUUUUCAUGGAGUUCCUUGGACCUAUAACAAUAAGCAGGAAGGUAACAAGAAUGUGAAGGAGCGGCUGGACCGGGCGGUGGCGUGCCCCCAAUGGUCAUCUAUCUUUCCUGACUGCAAGGUAACGCAUAUUAUCAGUUCCAGGUCAGAUCAUUGCCCUCUUCUUAUUGAAUUGAUGGGAGCUCCUCGUUCUGGCACAUUUAUUAAACAUUUGAAAUAUGAAGCGUAUUGGGAGAGGGAAGAUGCGGAGCUGCAAGUACAGAUUGAUUCGUGUUGGAAUAAUAAUGUUAGAGUCAAUAAUCUGGGAGAUGUUGCCAAUAACCUGGACAAGUUGAUGAAGUCUCUUCAUGGGUGGAGUCAGGUUCACAUUGGAUAUUUGCCACAAAAACUUGAAUCUGCUCACAAAAGACUAAGUGUGUUGUUUAACAGAAGUGAUCAUAAAGCAAUAGUAGAAAGGAAGAAAAUUUUAAAGGAAAUGGAUGAGCUCCUGUUAAAGGAAGAAAUUAUGUGGAAGCAGAGAUCAUGUCUGAAUAAAAUGAAAUGGGGAGAUAGGAACACAAAAAAAUUUCAUAGGAAGGCCACUUGGAGAGCGAAGAAAAAUAAUAUUUCUGCCAUCAAAAGAAGAGAUGGGUCUCUCUCUCAGGAUAUGGAUGAAAUAAAAGGUAUCACUAAUGAUUUUUUCAAGAAUCUUUAUUCCUGUGAUUCUGUGGUUAAUCCGUCCCGUAUCAUUUCUCUUGUGAAACCAUUGGUGACUGAUCAAAUGAAUGAGGAUCUUUGUAAACCAUUUUCUGAGCAAGAAAUCAGCGAUGCCCUAUUCCAAAUAGGGCCGUUAAAGGCCCCGGGGCCAGAUGGAUUUCGUGCCAGGUUUUUUCAAAGAAAUUGGGGGCUGCUUAAGGAGGAUAUUGUUCGUGCCAUCCAGCAAUUUUUUAUUUCUAGAACUAUGCUUGAAGGGAUAAAUAAUACAACUAUUGUUCUUAUUCCUAAGGUGAAGAAUCCUCAGUCCAUAAAAGACUUCCGUCCAAUCAGUCUUUGUAAUGUGAUUUAUAAGAUUAUCUCUAAGUGCCUGGUCAACAGACUGAGACCUCUGCUAGAUGGUAUGAUUUCUCCUACCCAAAGUGCAUUCAUCCCUGGAAGAUCAAUAUCUGAUAAUGCACUUAUCGCGUUUGAAUGUAUGCACUCUUUAAAUACGUUAAAAGAUAGCCAUGGUGAAUUUUGUGCAUAUAAGUUGGAUCUCGCUAAAGCGUAUGACCGUGUCGAUUGGAAUUUCUUGGAAAGAAUGCUUCAAGCGUAUGGUUUUGCUCCAACAUGGAUUAAGUGGAUCAUGUCUUGUGUUACCACUGUGAAGUUUGCUGUGCGUUUGAAUGGCCAGCUGUUAGAGCCUUUUCAUCCUUCUCGUGGUCUCAGGCAAGGGGAUCCACUAUCACCAUACUUAUUCCUCUUUGUGGCUGAAGCAUUGUCGUUGCUACUUAAUGAUGCUUCGGCAAGAGGGGCUAUUCAAGAGUUCCGGCUAAACAGACAUGCCCCAGGUAUAUCUCAUCUCCUUUUUGCUGAUGAUAGUCUCCUGUUUUUUAAGGGUAACUUGGAGCAAGCUCUGAAUAUUAAAGGCAUUUUGUCGGCUUAUGAGGAGGGAACUGGCCAACUAUUAAGUCCGGAUAAAUGCUCCAUAUUAUUUGGCAAAAAUUGUUCUAUGGAAGACCAGGUGUCUAUCCUGGUUAUCCUUAAAAUCACGAUUGAUGGUUUUGAGGAUAAAUAUCUAGGCUUGCCUAUUCCAGAAGGUCGUAUGAAGGCAGGUAAGUUUCAAUCCACCAAAGAUAAGGUGCUCAAGCGGGUUUCAGAUUAUAUUGAAAAAUAUGCUUCGAGCGGAGCGAAAGAAAUCCAGAUCAAGUCUGUUAUUCAAGCUAUUCCCGUGUUUGCAAUGGGUAUUUUUAAAUUCCCCGCUUCACUGUGUGAGGAGUUAUCCCAGAUUAUCAGGAAUUUUUGGUGGGGCGAUGAAGAGAAUAGGAAAAGAAUGCAUUGGCUGGCUUAGGAUAAGAUGACGAGACCAAAAAGUGAAGGGGGUAUGGGCUUUCGUGAUCUUCGGCUUUUUAAUCAAGCACUCCUGGCGAAACAAGCUUGGCGUCUUUUGGUUUUUCCGAACUCUCUGUGUGCUAAGGUGAUGAAAGCUAAAUACUAUCCUCACGGGCACCUUAUUGAUACUGUAUUCCCUCAAGCUACUUCCCUUACUUGGCAAGGAAUUAUGCAUGGCCUUGAAUUGCUAAAAAAAGGCAUUAUUUGGAGAGUGGUCGAUGGGACUAGUAUAAAUAUUUGGAGGGAUAAUUGGAUCCCUAGGGAACCUGGCCUACAAAUUUGUGGUAAAAAGAGCAGAACUAAGAUCAAAUUGGUUUCCGAGUUAUUUUUUAGUGCAACCAGGAGUUGGGAUGAGAACCUGAUAAGGCAUCUAUUUUAUAUUCAUGAUGCAGAGGAAAUUCUAAAGCUCCGUAUUCUUUGAGUGGGCGAGGGAGACUUUAUUGCUUGGCACCACGAGAAAAGUGGCUUGUUCUCCGUGAAGAGUGCGUAUAGACUAGCUCUGAAUUUUAAAGAGCCGAGGAGUGUAUCUGGCAAUUCCAGUGAUGCCAUAAAUGGGGAUAGGAGGCUCUGGAAUUUUAUUUGGAAUGCUAAUGUCCCCCAAAAAAUUAAAAUUUUUGCCUGGAGGGCUGCUUCUAAUAGUUUGGCGGUUCAACUCAAUAGGGUUAAACAUCAUCAAACUAUUCUAGGUACAUGCUCAAUAUGUGGUAUUGAUGAUGAGUGUAUUUUCCAUGCUUUGGUGGUUUGUCCCAAGGCUCGUGCGUUCCGCAUGGCUCUGAAGGAAGUUUGGAAAUUACCAGCGGAGGAGACCUUCAAAUAUUCUGGACCGGAUUGGUUCCUUAUUCUAUUGGACCAGUUAACUACGCCUGUUCGUGAGCAAACUAUAUUCAUGUUUUGGAGAGCUUGGCACUUGAGGAAUGAUUUGAUCUUUGGUAAGGGAAUGGAAUCCAUCUCAGCCUCGGUAAGUUUUGUCGAAAAUUAUUGGGCAUCUUUCUCGUCUUGUCUUGCUAAAAUGCAGGUGGAGAUAUGCAGUAAGGGGAAGCAAGUGGAGUUGGAUCUUCAGCCAACCAAUAACAUUGAGAGGCAGGUUACUCUUUGGAGGCCACCUACCCCAGACGUCUAUAAAAUUAAUGUCGACGCAAGUUUUGUGGAGGCCAUUAAAGCUGCGAGCAUGGGGGUGGUUGUUAGAAAUCACCAUGGACAAGUGAUCCUAUCCUCCUGGGAUUAUAUUGGUACUUGCUACAGCGUUGAGGAAGCGGAACUUAGAGCGUCCUUGUCCGGCCUAUAUAUUGGUAUGACUCUAGACAUGCCCGUCAUUUUGGAAACUGACUGUUCAUUUGUAGCCUCCGUUUUUGGUAAAGAAUAUAUGGACAGAUCAUCCCUUGUUGAUCUAAAGAAGGAAGCUGUAGAUGUCUCAAAGUUGUUGGUGAAUUUACAGAUUUCUAAGAUCAACAGAAAGGCUAAUAUGGUGGCUCAUGAGAUUGCAAAGUUUAGUUUUGAUAAUAGUUCUGAUGGUAUUAUGUUUCAUUCUGUUCCGCCCUGCGUGGCAAAGUUUGUAACGAAUGAUUGUAUGAACAUUUUAAGUUAAUUAAUACAUGGAGGGGGUUUUCAAAAAAAAAAUAUUGGCCUCUGUAUGUCUGCUGCCACAAUUCCUUUAUUAUUUUAUUUAUCUCUUCCAUUUUCAUGGUAUGGAACCGCAUAAGAGCCCUACAGAAAUACAAGUGUGCCAUCGUAAAGAAAGUUUAAGAUGAAGCACUAAAAAGGCCAAAGAAGGAUUUAUUAGUAGAAGGGAGCAUCCAUAUAUUCUGGGAGGGGUCAUUUUUGCCUCAACUUUCAGUGAAAGGUCAGAUUUGCCGUUUUGCCGUGAAAGGGUACUCACUUAUCCAAAGCAGCAUAGUAUCGCUCCAAGUCCUUAUUUGCCAUCUCAGUUGUCUGCGGCCACAUCAGUUUUGUUAUCAAGUAAUAAGAUCAGAAAGUUGGAGAAUCUGAACCUGGAAGAUCAUGCCACCUACCUUAAGUUGGAGAAGUUGGUUAAAAUAUCUUUUCUCAAUAUCCUUGUAUUGUGUCUGUUUAAGCUCAAGUUUGUGCUUUGAAAUAUUACUUUGGUAAACAGAAAUUGUUCCUUCACACCUAUUAUACUGUAGGGAUUGCCAAGAUAAAUAAGCCAUAUGUGAUAAAGUUUCACACUAAGAAAUAGAGUAAAAUGCAUGAUGCGUUCUUGAACUUCCUAAUUUGUGCACUUAGAUACUUGUACUAUGAAAUUCCUCAUUUUAGAUCUUCUGUGCAGUAUGCAAGUCAAUUAAGCAAGGACAUCUGAUGACUCACUAAUUUACCAUAAGGACAAACGCAUGCAUUUUCGAAGUACCAGGACCUAGGUGACACACCUCUGCAAGUUGAACAACGGACAUGCAUUUUUACCCUUUAGAAAUAUAUAAUAUAUGUACUAUCUGGUGAAAUGCAUGUUCAUGUUUCCCUAAAUAGGUAAGAAAAUAAUGGCAUUUAUUAGAUGCAACUUUGUCAAUUAUUUGGAAUGAGAGACACAAUACCUCUGAAAGAAGCUUCUCCUUUUCUUGAGCAUGCCGCUUAUGAUCAGCUCCUAUUGUGGACUUGCUGCCGAUGGAAAGCACAUUUUCUUCAAGUAACUCGAUAUCAUGAGCAAGUCGAUCCACUUCAGCCUUUGUUUUCCUGUAGUUCAGAUUGUCAUCAAUGUUUCUUUUCAAUUGAUCUUGGCUGCGCAAUAGCUGUUUGCUCUUGUCAAGCUCAACCGAGAUGUCUUGCUUUCUUGCCUCACAUUUCUGUAACUGAGACAGGGAUAGGGUAUGCCUUUCCUGCAGUUCAUUAAGCUUCUCUACUUUCUUUGCAUCCAGGUACCUAAGAGGGAUUUUUUUAGUCAAAGUAAGUGGGAAAGGUGGGACAAACUGAAAGAGAAGGAGUGGAAAAAUAUAUACCCUUUGAUGCGUGUGUUAAGGGUUCCAAGUGCGUCGAUUUCUUGCUGGAAUCCCCUUUUUCUUUCAGCUAGCUGAUCAUACUCCUGGUCAAGCCUUUCCUUCAAAGCUUUAUGCUCUUGCAACAAGCUUUCUCUCUCUUUUGACAAUGGAACAAGAGCCUCUUCUAAAUGCUGAAUCCAUAAGAAAUAAACAUUUAGCAUGUAUUAGGUCAUCGUGCACAAGUGCAUUAGUAAUAGUGUUAUUGAUGCAUAAAACUAGAGAUAUUUACCCAAAACCAUCACAGUUUGGGGCUAGGACAACAACUUGGUACAAUAUUCGAGCCAGGGUACGAGGAACCACCAUAUCUGCGCCUAACGAAUAACGAAGAUCACUAAUUGUUUGAUAAGCUCCCGAAAACAGCGAAACUGGCAUGUUGGGCCCAUUUGUCGGGCUGACGUGGCAAAGACCAAGCACAAAAAAAUGUUGACCAGGUGAUGUGGCAGAUGAGAUGUGGGCUCCGUCUGUCAUUGACUACGUGAUCAUCUUCAUCGCAUCAUUAUUUUAUGGAGCAUUGCAUCGAGCAGCUUAUGGGCGACCGAGCCAUCUCUGCCCAUGCGAGCCAAGAGCUCCAUGGCCAUGGCAGCCGGGCCCCUGCUCAAGCUAGCCCCGGGCCGCCUCAGCCUGUUCCCCGCGCGCCAUGAACCCUCGAAGCCCGCCGCCGCCCCCGCCGGCAUGGACGGCCGAGCCGAGAGCUUCAUGGCCACGGCAGCCGAGCCCUCCUCGAGCUAGCCCAGGGCCGCCUCACCCCUGGCGUCGGCGUGCUGGCCUGCGGGCAGGGCUAGCGAGGAGGCGCAGCUCCCGCGCUGGCUCCUGGACACGGCGACGGCGGCGGGCAGCGCGACGGAGUUCACUGGCGAGUUCGCCAUGGACGACGACGGUCAUCUUCUUCACGCCUGGCGUCGGCGCGUCCGAGCACGCAUACGUGCUCAAGGUGAGCCACUCGCCCCUUCCCCACUUGCUCGCGCCGCCGCGUAUGCCAGCUUCCGCAAGGUGGUCACCGCCUUGGUAGGAGGACAGGAAGAGCAGUGUGAGCUGGCGGGGAUGGAGGCGUCCGGCCCGCCGUUCCUCUGGUCACUGCUCGGGCGUGCCCAUGGCGUGCGUGCCUUCUUCAAUGACCAGAGGAUGAACGCACAAAAGGUGCUCGAUGGAAUGCUCCAUAGAAAAAAUGUUGUGAAGGAGAUGACCGUUUAGUCAUUGACAGGUGGGGCCUGCAUCUCAUUUGCCACAUCAGUCGGUCAAACUUAUUUGUCUUCGCCAUAUCAGCACGACAGGUGGGGCUAACUUGUUAGUUUUGCUCUUUUUGUGAGCUUAUCAGAGUGCUCUUCCUCGUGCCCUAACUGAAAUAUGGUAUCAAGUUGUUACCCUAGCCUUAGCUGUGGUAGUUUUAGGUAAAUAUCUCACAAAACUUCAUAGGAGUGCAACAAAAAGAUUAAUGAGAUCAUGCCUUCAGGGUUAAAUCUAGACCAUCAGCCUCAACUGUGGUGGUUUUGGGUAAGUAUCUCACGAAACUACAUAGGAGUGCAACAAAAAGAAUAAUGAAAUCAUGCCUUCAGGGUUCUAGACCAUCUGUCACAAGUAUAAUUUGCAUGCACCCAGUACUUCCCAAAGUUGGUCAAGUGAGCUAUAAACUGAUCAAACUAGUGGGUGGCCCUUAAUAUUACCCAGUUCCAUAUGAAAAAACAUUUGGAAUUGAGUCCAGUAUUAAUGCUCUCCAAUUCACAAGUCAUCCAAACAACAGAAAUAGAAUUGUGGACAAAUCCAUUUCAACCUGAAAUUGAAUGGAAGACCCCAUUGGCCUAAUUCAGUUCCAACAUCCAGACAGGCCCAGAGAUUUCAUUCUGGUACAGUAUUUCAGUAGAGAAACUAUUAACCAGAGAAAUGGAGGUUCAAUGAAUGAUGAAUACCUUCUGAUCUAUGAUCAGUUGCUCUUUUUCCUCAGCAAAAAGUACCAAAUCUUCUUCAGCCUUUUUGAACUUCAGCAAUACACUUGAGGCUCUUAGUUUUUCUUCCCUAAGAUCAUGCCACCGCAUCUGAGCAUUUGACAGAUCCUCGCUAAGUAUUUUUUGCUGAUCCCUGAGAUCGUCUACUUCACUGAUCAAUGUGUCCCUGCCAGAAAGAUAUGUACGCAGACCAGCAUAUUGAGCCUCCAAUAGCAAGUCAUAAAAAAAGUAAGAAGAAUAAGCUAAUUCAAUUGUUUCAUGGGUGACAGAUUGAAUAUUUAACAUUUGAACACACUUCGCAUAUGUUUGAUUGAUCACCAAAGCCAACCCUGAGGUCAUUCGAGCUUUUCUUGGGAGUAUGGCAUCGGUUACAUACUUCAGCACCGUAGCGCAUGGUAUGAGCCUCAUGGACGUCAAUGACUAAUGUUUUGGCUCUGGCUUGCAUAGUGUCAAACACACAUGCAAAUGCUCUUUAGCCAACUCUAGUUCAUUUUUCUGGCCAGCAUUGACCAAUAAAUAGAUAUACAUGGAAAUGGAAAGGAGAACACAAAAAGGCAACGAUACACUACAUGACAAGUUUGGUUGGAUAAUGUGGGAUGGUUGGGAUGGAUCAUGGGUAAUAAUUCCAGUGUUCCUAUUAAUUUCCAAAGGUUACUGGAAUUAAGUUGCCUGAAGAACUAUUUUCUCAAUUCCCAGGCAGAGGAUCUUAUAAUUCUGGGGUAAAUCGAAAACCAUUACCUUGCCCUCUGCACAGAGUUCAGCUCCAACUGGAUUUCCUCGACAGAUUUAACACCUUGGCCACGAGAAUCAAGCUUAUAUUCAAGAUCUUUGACUUGUGGUUCUAACUCCUGUAUUUCUUGCACAUGCCUGUUGAUAGUAUCAACUGGAUGUAACAAGACUUCGACUCCAUCCCUGUCCGUUUUAACUUGAGCAAGAGCACUCACAAGCUGCAACGUGUCAAUCAUACAAGUCACAGCAGAGCAAAAUAGAGAAUACGUCAUAAAUUAUGUUUAUAAAUAGAUACUACAUUUACUGUUGGGUGACAAAGUGAAAAUCCAUUUCUCAUAAGACAGCGGACCUGAACUGUGUUUGCAAAAGGUUCAAGUAAGUUUCUCAAAUGACAAUGCUGCUAUCAACCAGACCAUUAUAUCAAUUACCCAAAGUAACAUCACACAUUGUCGAAGGGCUUAAGCUUAAGAACAGCCCAAACAACCAUCAUACGGAUGUGACCUAGGAGAUUUGCAAACAAAAUAAUUUACCAACCCUCUGAAGAGGAUGAAACAUUCCGUGGCCUAUUCCCAAAGAGCAUAAUAUCUACACAAGUGGACUUGUACAUCCGUACAACUCCCUCCAGUCCUUUUUACUCCGCGUAUUAGAUUUGUAUGAAGUCAAAGUCUUUGAAGUUUGACCAUGUUUAUACAAGAAACUAUUAACACUCAAAAUACAAUAUCAAUAUCCUUAGAUCCAUCUUAGAAUAUAUUUUCAUAUAUAUAUAUAUUUGAUACAGUAAAUGUUGAUAACUUUUUAAUAUAAAUUUGGUCAAAGUUAUGAAGUUUGACUUCUGAGAAAUCUAAUGUGCAGAGUAAAAAGGACCUGGGGGAGUAUAAACCGAUUUACUACAACUUGACACUUGACGUAGAGAGAGGAUAGCUAGAAUUAUGCCUCAGGAGUGGAGAAUCUUUAUUAGGACACAUAGUAGAGCUAAGAAACACAGGUCAUCUAAGGUAUUAUGUUUGACUGUCUCUAUCUUUAUUUUGCGUAUGAGAAUAAAUAAAUAAAAGUGGUGUCGAGAGUGAUGACUAACGUCUUUGAAUAUCUGCGCCUUCUCACUUUCAUCUGCCAAAAGUUGUUCCAAAUCCUUCUCUGCUAAAGCUAUGUUCUCUUUCCCCAGUUUCACAUAUUCAUCAUAAACCACACGGAGAUUAUCCAAUCGAUUGAAAAAGUCUUCAGCAUUUGAUAAUUCGAUUGCCAGUACAUUCAGGCGCUCUGCGGUACUUGUGCCUGUAGUCCUUUGCUGAAGGAAAGAUGCACCAGACAACAACAUCAACAGAAAGAAAUCAUCCAGCACAAAGUAACUCUAAAUCAAACGAAAAAGGCAGCUAUGUUUACUAAAUCAUCCACCUUCUUCAAAGAUGUCCUCUUCAUCAGGUGUGAAAACACGAUCACAGCAAGGACACUUGUGCUGCUGGCGGGCCACUUUUUCAAAAGGUUCAUACAUUUGCCGCAUUCCCUUUGCAUAAUUGUACGUACUGCAAAUAGGAAGAAAGCAUUGAAUCGGGCAUCGAAAGAAGAUGUGGCUUAAAGAGAUAGCUACAAUUAUGGAUACCUACUUUGUUUGUUUAUCUCUGUCGUCCAUGGCAUCUUUCAGAAUCUUGGGGUAAGUGUUGAUGUCAACAGAUACCUUAGUAAUGGGUUGAAGUUUCGAGUUCAGAUGGUUUCUUUUUGCUGCACGAAAGGUAACAUUGAUGGAAUUCAGAUGGUUACCCUUGAUCUCUAUGUAGUAAUAGUUGGAACAACUAGAAGGUUCAUACUACACUAUGAGACAAAAUCAAGCAUGCCCAAUAGUCCAGUGUGGUGCAUUGUCCAAUACAUUGAUGAUAAUCAAAAUGGAUCUUUCACAUACUUUGAUUACUUUCACUUUAUUCUGGAUAAGAAUGUAACCGUAGGUCAGGGAAAUUCUGUCUAAAGAACAAUUUCAACUGCAUACACUCUACUUAGUUGGCAGUGAAUCUGUCAUCGUCCCAACGUACCAACUCAAAAUGAAGGAAUGAUAAGUACAUCUUAAAAGGAAAAGGAGAGAUAUAGUGUGCACCUCUCAGAUUUUGAUUUUCUAAAUUUCAUACAUAGUGGAGCUUUUACAUGUCAAAUUAUGUCAAAGAAAGCAUCAUCAACUUUGUACUUAUGAAAUAAGCAAGCAUGCAGUGGUCAUAUCCAAUUUUACCGUCCAAAUCUUUUUGGAGCUUUGACAAGUGGCUUCUAGCAGCAGAAAUUUUCAUUUGUGCCAAUUUCGACUGCUGUUCUGCUUCCAGAGAUUUUGAGCUCAAAUCAUUGUAUUCUGCGUCUACAAACCUGAGUCAAGCAGAGUUUCGUGGUACCAUUAACAAACAGUAGCAAAAGAAUACAAAGUUCCACAUGUGGUAUAAUCUGUAAGGCAGCAUGAAAGCAUGACAAAUUACUAGAUUGCUAGUUGGGUGUGUCGAGUCAAGUGCAACAUUUUUGUGUUUCCCGUAUCAGGAUGGAGUCUUGAAAGAAUGGGAUGUGGAUACCUAGACGCCACAUUACUAGUCAAGAAAGAAUGGGAUGUGGAGGCCUAGACGCCACAUUAACAGACUAGGCCCUUGAAAUACACAUCCAUGUGAAUGUUUACAACAAACCUGCAUGCUUAAAAUGGAUACAUACACAUGUGCACAUGGUUGAUCAAACUGUACCUGAUUAGAGAUACUACUACUGUUUUCACUAACCACCAAUGGCUUGAACAGAAAAGAUCAAUUGCAUCGAAGAAAGUCAAUAUAUUACAGCUUUACAUAAGUAAAUUCAUUUUGAUCAUAUGGGCCGAAAUAGGACAUGUCAUGAGACGACUAAGCAUAUCAAUAAGGAACUGUGACACGAACCCAAAAGCUCGAGUAAUCUCCUUCUUGACAUCCUUCUCAUAAGGAAGCCUCCCCUUAAGAACACUUCUAAAUUUGUCCUUAUGUUCAUCAUAUCUGCAUUUUAUAAAUCAUGUUAUUUCAAUCUUCGUAACGGAAGAAUUGGUAUUGGAAUAUAACCAACUUUAGAACCAUAAUACAGAUAGAAAUUAAAAGGGGAAAGGAAAGAAGUACAUCUUUUUAAGUUUCUUCUUGCACUUUUCCAAUUCAUCCUUCUUCAGUUCUAAUUUUACUCUGUCAUCAGCAUCAGUAGUUAUGUUAUCUUUCUCCCGGUGAAGUGUUUUUAUCUUGUGAUCCAAUGCAUAUAUCUCUGGGCGCUUCUGACUUAUAAUCAAAUCAUAGUCUCUUUCUCCCAAGGCAUUUGUCUUCUUCUCAACCUCAAUUUGCUAUUUGAAUCACAAUGGGACAACUUACUUAUUUAGAAUUAAGAAUGUUAAACUUAGAGACGGAACAAAUUAAAAUUGCAGACCAGCCAAGUAAAGCUAUACAUCGAUGAAUAUAUCCAAUGGACAACAAUAGUUAGGUCAAAUAAAUACCAAAUGCCGAUCUCUUUCAUCAAUACGGGCCAGAUUAUGCUUUGAAAGCUCCAUCUCUGCAGCAUCUCGUUCAUUCUCUUUAUCUUUCAUGCGCCUUAAAACACCUAUCUGGAAGGUGUUUAAUAUAUCAUAUCAACAAAUGGUAUAUGAUAUAUCAGUUGCAGAAUAUCAUAUGCAUGCAAGUCCUCCAUUAUUAACCUUAGAUUCUUUCUUAGAUUGUAUCUGGCCAUCAACUUCAGAGUAGCGGACGUUUACUUUGAGAUAACGUCCCCAAAGAAACUCUAACUGUGUCUCACUAGAUUUCUGCUUAAGAAAAAGAACUUGAUUACUAAGGGACAACAUGAUAAGAAUGCAGGUUUUCAGCAUUGACUCGUUCCUAAUUUAUUCCAUGUACUUGCACAGAUGCUUUGAAUAAUAAAGUAUGCUAAAGCAAGCAACCUUGCAUGAGCAUAUCAGAUGGUCAUGGAACGCUGAAACGCCAAACAAAAAUAGGCAGCAAAAUGACUGCCUAGAAAAUAUUGAGUACUAUUAAAAAAAUCAGAAAGUUCUAAUGGAAGUGUUUACUUUUGCGACUAAAUUCCAAAAAAUACGAAGAAUAGGCAUUAUAACCUUCUUUUCCUGCAAAUCGUCCUCGAGACUCGAUAGUCUUGCUUUAGUCCUGUAUGUAAGGUUCGUGGCAAUAGCAUUAGUAAAAGGAGCAUCAGGAAUUGGCCCGAGAUUAUGUUUAUUGAAUAUCUUUCUGAUGGCUGAGUCUCGUUCGUGCUUCACCGACACGUGAGCCUGAAAAUAACAUAUUUGUAUUUAACAUCGUACCACAGUGCCCACUAUUAUUUAAGAAAUGGUCAAGCCAGUCAAAAAGAAAAGGAUUGCAGCAUUACAUCAGCUUCUGCCUGGAGCUUCCCUAUUUGACGUGUUGAAUCAUUGAUGGUCUCAGAUAGCAGAGAGAUUUUUUGUAUAUUCAUCAUUCAUCUCUCGUUCAAGUUUACCGAUUUUUGUAUCCAGUAGCGCAAUUUUUUCUUCAAAUGUUGUCUGCCACUCCCUCAGUUCCUCAUCGGUAUCUAAAUAAAGCAAGGUAAACUGUCGCUAUGCUGCAAAGGAGCCAUUAGAAUUACUGGCAUGAUGAGGAAUUGCUGACCUUCAUUUUCCUCAGAAAGGGCAGCAUGCUGUUGCUGCUGAAGUGUUAAAUAUGUACUUCUAGCUGUUGCCUUGGUGCUAAUUUGCUCCUGAAGUCUCCUCAAGUCCAUGAUACUUGUUUCGGUACGACGGAUUUUGUUUUCGACAGCCUGGAUGUUUGUUUUCAGGUCCUCCAUUUGAGCUUUUAAGGCAUCUGACUUCUCUUGAUCUUGCGCAAUACUGUCCCGAAGCUGUGAAAGUAAGGGAACUAAACUAGCAUUAAAAGCAGCAUUCCCUUCUAAAAAAUUAAAGUAAACUGCAGUGGAAGUAUAGAACUGAUAGAUCUUCAGUAAAGGCAGCAGAAAAUGAGCUGUGCACUGAAGAUCUAUCUGUUCAAAUUACCCUAGUAGUUAUACUUCCCAGCUCAUUUUCAUCUAGUAGAAAAUGAGCUGGGAAGUAUGACAACGAAAGAGUAAAGGCAGCAGAAAUGAAGUAGUCUACUAGGGUAAUGUGAAUUGUGAAGUGUUAUAAUGAAUCACUGUCACCUUAUGACAGGGAUGUACUUGUAUAUCACAUAUAUAUCCCCCAUGGCAGUAAGCCAGUAACACAACAAAAAUUAAAAUUCUACAAUCAUGAAGAUACAAAUUACCAUGUAUGAUACGCAUGCUUGUGCGCAUUCUAGAAAAAAGAUAAAAAUUACCCUGUAUACUUGAUCUUUAAGAGUUUGAAGGUUCUCCAGCUUUAACCUAAAAGUCUUGAUUUCCUGUGCUUGGUCCUUUUGAAGUUUCUUUAUGACUUCGAGAGCUUUGGUAUAGCUGUACAUUAGAUUUGGAAAUUAAGGUAGUGAGAUUCUAGUUUCGACAUCAGCUCCACACUUUCACAGAAAGAUUAACCCCAUCUUAAACAGAUUGCAGCAAUCAAAUAAGAAAAUUUAUGGCCUUGAUCGCAGCUUCUAAAUUAUUAAGUAAAUAGUAAUGCAUUCAUGUACCGGGUAGCAGAAAAGAUGUCGUCAAACUUUUUCUUAAGUGUUGACGGGUCCUGUAACGGAGGGAAUGGUUGGGAAGGGGGACUCUCGCUUCUGUCUGGACUUAUGGGAUUUUCGCCUCUUGGGGUUUAGGGUUUGGAUUUUGCGCCGGUUGCUUCGCGUGUCUUGCCCUGCGAUUUAUUUAUUUUCUUGAGAUGGCGCCAUUUCAUCGUGCGAAAGAAGAUUCACUUAUUUUAUUUAUUUUUUGAAGUAGUGGCCAAAGUUUUUUCUCAUCUCAUUAAUCUUCUCUAUAUAUACUAGGUAAUUGCCCGUGCGUUGCAUCGGGAGCAUAAUAAAAUUAGACGGACAAGGAGCAUAAAAUUCUAGUGGUCCAACACUAAUCAUGUCAAAUUUAUACAUUUAGAAUUCUCAUGGACAUUUUAUUCUUGUUUUUCUUAUUUAUUUUCUUCUUCUUUUUCUUCUUCAUCAAAUUAUCUCCUCCUCCCCAGUCCAAGAUUUCCACCACCCUCAAUUGCACAUUUGGCGACUUUUUUGGGGGUUGCAUCUGGCAAUAUAAUGCGUAGAUUGAUUGUGUUUUAUUUGGAUGGGGUGUUUGGCAGCCAUGGAAAAUAUAUAUAUAUACACAUUGAUUAAAGCAAAAUAAUAUUUCGCAACGAUGAAAAAAACUAUUCUGUAUUCAGGCUCAGUGUCCAUCUGGUUUUAAGUAAUAUACAAGAUGAACAAGCCGUGAACAGAUGUUUUGAUCGGCAAGCCUGUUACUAUGUUCUAGUGUAUACCAAUAUGUGAUAAAGACCAAGUGACAAAACAAUGGUGAUUAUUUCAAGGAAAUAACACAUUCUCAAGAUACCACCUGGUAUCAUUACCAAGUACAACUUUUAGUGUCACAAAUGCAACACCAACAUACCACUUCCAAGUUCCAACGUAAUAAAAGGACACGCCCACACAAAAAAGUUAAAGUAAAGCAGUGUCUAUUUGCCAUCAAAACUACUGGAUAUGAGAUAAAAAUGAUCUGUUGAAAACAUGCAGUCCCCAAUGAUGAUAAGAAACGACCCCAAUGAGAUUACAGCCCGACUUUGAAUCUCUUGCCUUCAAAACCUGUAGAAAUUGAUGCUAAUCAAAUAGUAAUCAGUGGUAUACCCAAUGUAAUAUACUCAGGUGAUUGUGUUCGUGCUUGGUACUAUUGUUUUCGGCAAUACCACACUAAUCUAUAGUAAUUAAUGCUGAACCUGGAGUAUGGAGAUGACCCAUUGACUACUGGCUUCACCCCUGCCUACAGGUGAUUGUGCUAGUGCGUAGUGCAAUUGUUUUCGGCAAAGGAUUAAGUUUGUCUUUGCACCUGCGGCAGAGCAGCUAGCAGCUGUUGCCUUUACCUGAAUUCAUUCGUGAGGCACGAAACAUUAGACUGAGUACAGAACUUUGUUCUAUAAAUAUAACACGGCUACUAUCUCACCUCAAAAUCUUACCUGUACUGGAAUCUUACAACAAAUGUCUACAUUUACUUUCUGAAUAACAAGAAGCUACUACCAUUUUUACAUUAUAUUGGGCGCGCACACUGGGAGAGCGCCGUGUAUCAUUGUUUUUCCUACUGCAGUGUUGCUUGUUUGGCUUCUCUGUUGAUGGCCCUGUGCAGUGCGAGAAGAGGCACAUCUAACGCCUACCCAAAAAUAGAACUAAGACAUGAAUAUAAGGAGACGGGAAAAGAGUUCAAAGAACAAACAGUCAAAAAGAACCUUUCCUCAGAAGGAUCUUCAUCAGGUUUUUCAUUUCAGAUAUAGACAACAAGAACAUCUUCACCCCACUUAAUCCAAGCAAUCUCUGUUGUUCAAGCAAACAAAUCCUCAUCUUGCCCCUGGUUUUAGUCAAUCGCUACUUCAUAAGAGCUUCAAUAAUCUACAUUGAAAAAGUAAAUUGAAUUAAAAAAUAGUGUAAGUAACAAACAUUCAGGCUGGUGCAGGGUGGUGCGUCAGGAGAGGAGGAGGCGGCUGGUCUCCUUGGCCCAAGGCGGUGGAAGAAAGGCCUGUCGCCGCAGGCGGCGGAGCUGGGGUCUACCUGUCCUGAGGCUGCGACGCCGGCGAGGACAGGGGCGAGCGCAGCCGUGGGAUCAGAGAGGCCACCGUGUGUGGGCGAGGAGGGUGUCUGGCGGCGUGCUGGCAGGGUGUGGGGAGGGUCCAGAUGGUGAUGCCGUACCAGAGGUCGGCGGCGGCGAUGUCCGACAUAGAAGGGCGAGGUGCGGCAGAGGAGGCGAGGGUUGCGCUGGUGCUGGCGACGACCCAAACCUAGCACGCCUGGUCGAUGGGAGCAGAACGUGCGAGGGACAUGUGGGCUGGCGCGGUUUUGCUGGGCACGCCGAAGAGGAGCAGAAUGCUCGACGAACGGCAGACGACGUAAGAGAGGAGAGGGAACGCUACGUUUCUUUUAGGUAGUAGAGAUACACAUUGAUUACAGCAAAAUAAUAUUUGGCAACGAUGAAAAAAACUAUUCUGUAUUCAGGCUCAGUGUCCAUCUGGUUUUAAGUAAUAUACAAGAUGAACAAGCCGUCAACAGAUGUUUUGAUCGGCAAGCCUGUUACUAUGUUCUAGUGUAUACCAAUAUGUGAUAAAGACCAAGUGACAAAACAAUGGUGAUUAUUUCAAGGAAAUAACACAUUCUCAAGAUACCACCUGGUAUCAUUACCAAGUACAACUUUUAGUGUCACAAAUGCAACACCAACAUACCACUUCCAAGUUCCAACGUAAUAAAAGGACACGCCCACACAAAAAAGUUAAAGUAAAGCAGUGUCUAUUUGCCAUCAAAACUACUGGAUAUGAGAUAAAAAUGAUCUGUUGAAAACAUGCAGUCCCCAAUGAUGAUAAGAAACGACCCCAAUGAGAUUACAGCCCGACUUUGAAUCUCUUGCCUUCAAAACCUGUAGAAAUUGAUGCUAAUCAAAUAGUAAUCAGUGGUAUACCCAAUGUAAUAUACUCAGGUGAUUGUGUUCGUGCUUGGUACUAUUGUUUUCGGCAAUACCACACUAAUCUAUAGUAAUUAAUGCUGAACCUGGAGUAUGGAGAUGACCCAUUGACUACUGGCUUCACCCCUGCCUACAGGUGAUUGUGCUAGUGCGUAGUGCAAUUGUUUUCGGCAAAGGAUUAAGUUUGUCUUUGCACCUGCGGCAGAGCAGCUAGCAGCUGUUGCCUUUACCUGAAUUCAUUCGUGAGGCACGAAACAUUAGACUGAGUACAGAACUUUGUUCUAUAAAUAUAACACGGCUACUAUCUCACCUCAAAAUCUUACCUGUACUGGAAUCUUACAACAAAUGUCUACAUUUACUUUCUGAAUAACAAGAAGCUACUACCAUUUUUACAUUAUAUUGGGCGCGCACACUGGGAGAGCGCCGUGUAUCAUUGUUUUUCCUACUGCAGUGUUGCUUGUUUGGCUUCUCUGUUGAUGGCCCUGUGCAGUGCGAGAAGAGGCACAUCUAAUGCCUACCCAAAAAUAGAACUAAGACAUGAAUAUAAGGAGACGGGAAAAGAGUUCAAAGAACAAACAGUCAAAGAGAACCUUUCCUCAGAAGGAUCUUCAUCAGGUUUUUCAUUUCAGAUAUAGACAACAAGAACAUCUUCACCCCACUUAAUCCAAGCAAUCUCCGUUGUUCAAGCAAACAAAUCCUCAUCUUGCCCCUGGUUUUAGUCAAUCGCUACUUCAUAAGAGCUUCAAUAAUCUACAUUGAAAAAGUAAAUUGAAUUAAAAAAUAGUGUAAGUAACAAACAUUCAGGCUGGUGCAGGGUGGUGCGUCAGGAGAGGAGGAGGCGGCUGGUCUCCUUGGCCCAAGGCGGUGGAAGAAAGGCCUGUCGCCGCAGGCGGCGGAGCUGGGGUCUACCUAUCCUGAGGCUGCGACGCCGGCGAGGACAGGGGCGAGCGCAGCCGUGGGAUCAGAGAGGCCACCGCGUGUGGGCGAGGAGGGUGUCUGGCGGCGUGCUGGCAGGGUGUGGGGAGGGUCCAGAUGGUGAUGCCGUACCAGAGGUCGGCGGCGGCGAGGUCCGACAUAGAAGGGCGAGGUGCGGCAGAGGAGGUGAGGGGUGCGCUGGUGCUGGCGACGACCCAAACCUAGCACGCCUGGUCGAUGGGAGCAGAACAUGCGAGGGACAUGUGGGCUGGCGCGGUUUUGCUGGGCUUGGCCCAUGUGCACGCCGAAGAGAAGCAGAAUGCUCGACGAACGGCAGACGACGUAAGAGGGGAGAGGGAACGCUAUGUUUCUUUUAGGUAGUAGAGAUAGAGACUACUUAAAAAACGAGCAGCGUUCCCAUUUCGCUAGCUCCUUUCGUCUAACCUUCACAUCCCCCUCCCCACGUAAUGACUCCCUCCCUCCACGUUUUUUUUUCUUAGUACACAUCCCUCCACGUUUUUUUCUUAGUACACAUAAUUAAAAGAGCCUUUAUUAACAUUAACUUGCCUCCCUAAUCCCCUCCUUAAUCGGUGUUCUUUCCACGAUUGGUACAAGGAAACCGCCGCCUCCGUGCAUGCUGCCCCCUGCUCACCCUCGUCUCACCGUCCGUCGUCUGCGACCGCACCGCGCUGCCCACCUACAACAACACCGCACCGACGCCCUGCCGUCCGCCGGGGGCGACUGCAUCGCGCCUCUCCGCCUACAACAACGCCGCGGUCGGCAUCGCCACGUCCUCCCGUCCGUCGCCGGCGGCUGCACCUCGCCUCAUUGACUACGACAACACCACGCCCGGCAGUCCUACGCCUUGCCGCGGGAACGGCACGAUGGAUAAGAUCCGCCUGCACCACGUAUGUGUGUCGCCCAACUGUCUCCCACGGCCAUGUCGGCGAGCUUCUCCAUAGUCGCGCCUCCCCUGCUCGUACAUCGCCCCGACCAGCACGUCCAGCCGCCUCUCCCUAUCUAGCACGCGCUGCCCACUGCCGCCGGCUGCUCAUGUCCAACCUGUGCUUGGGCUCGAGCACAUACACCCACGUAUAUCUCCAUAGAUCACGUGUGCCUAAUUGCAUCAUGUUAUUCUUAUUUCUUUCAGUUUUAUAUUCUCGGAUCUCGCAUCACGAAUAAAUCUUCAGAAAUUCAUCGAUCAACUUUUUGUUAAUUUUGGUAAUCUGCUACCAACAAGUGUUUUCAUGUUGAGUGCAUAGUGCCCCUGGGUUAAGGGAUCCAUGAACCUGUGCAACUUACUACUGAUCUACGUGAAUAAAAAAGAUACAAUAAUUUGCCAAACACAGUGGCUUGCAAUUUCAUUGAUAAACCUGCACCACUUGUUGGACCACUUGUUGGACUUAUUUGUCUCACGAUCCAUAUACUCUAUCCGUCCCAUUUAACAAGCUGGCUGAAUGUAUGAAUGGAUGCGAGGACGUAGUACAAUGAAAGCUGCCAGUUCAAACUCCUAAUAGUAGAUUCUGUAGGCAGUGUUGCUGGUGUUUUGGUUCUAUAUAAGCCUAGAACCUCAAACGGCCAUAAGUUUUGUGCUAAUACUGAAGAUAUUGUUGCACAUGCUAAUACUGAAGAUAUUGUGUGUACUGAAGUUUUACCAUAGCUCCUCGCCUGUGUUUUGUUACUGAAAAAAAAUCUCUGUGUGCUUGAACUGUUGUUGCAUGAGCCAGAAGUUGAUUAUGAGCUGAAAUCUACCAUUUGUGGUGAGACUUGAGAGAUGCUUAUAUGUUCCUAAUUCACAGUAGUAUCCUUCGGAAGUAUUUGUUUGUUUGUUUUCUCGCAUGUACAAAAUUGCCUGCAUGCUCUUUUUGCCAGAAAAUGUGCUUCAGAAUUAUGUGUUUGCCCGGCUAUGCAAAAAUUAGGCAGUGAUCUAUUUUAUAUCCGGCAUAGAUGAUUUACUUGCACAUGAGUUAAACAGUUAGGGGCAUCUCGGACUUGCAGAACACAGCUGCACAAGAGAGUGUUAGCGUAAAAUCCUAUGAAUAAUCCACCUUGUCCAUACAGCAGUUUAUAUUAUAGCUGUUAGUGGGAAGAUAUUGUGAUGAAUUUACUGAAACGUACAAGAACUAUUUUAUUAAUUUCCUUAUUUAUUUUCUUUGCAGAUGGAGUCUCCUAAACGUUCCACUGAACGCACUCCCUUUAAAGACCUGUCCAACUCCGUCAACGCAAGUAAUAUUGAUUGGAUUACGUGUAAAUGAACCAUCUGAUGCACAUCAACUAGCUAAAGUGUGUGCUUUUUAGGUGUUGUCGACAUUAGUAAUGGAGGGCAACCUACAGAUAUGAAAGAACGCAAGAGGCAAUGUGCUAGGGAGCGAUAUGCGCAAAUGGAUAAACAGAAAAAAGAUGAAUUACUACGGAAGCACCGUGAAGCCUAUCAACAAAAAAGAGCUCGACCAUUAGUUAGUUCUGAAGAGGCGAAAGUGGGGGCAAGUCCAUCUGUGCUCUCCCAAGUGCAGAUAACGACAAUUGGUCAAGGUGUGCUUCACCAUCGAGUGUCGGCUUAUUAUUCGCAGUUAUAUCAUUUGUUGGUUCUCUACUUUAGCUAAUACAUCUGAUAAUUUGUUUAACAAGGGGACAUUGCAUUGAACAAGGAAAAUGUGGUGCCUAAUGAAGAUAGUGAGUGGUUAAAUAGAAAUGACACAUACCAAAGAGCAUCAAUUGAUUUGCCAUCCCAGGGGCAAGAAAACCUCAUGGCUGGUAUGAAGGCCACUAAUUAGUGGUUAAAAUGGAAGCAACUUUGUUAAUAAUUCAUUCUGUACUGUACUAAAUAUGUGCUUUUUUCAUUUCUAGAUAUUAUUGCCAUCAACAAUUGCAGUAAUGAUGGGCCAACAUCAUCGAUGAUUCAACCACAACCCAUAGAUUCCAAAGAGCGGAAGAGGCUACGGGAUAGGGAACGAUAUGCAUUGAUGGAUUGCAAGAAAAAAGGUGAACUUCUAAAAAGACAGCGUGAAGCAAGGAAAUCAUCGUCAGGUAAAGGUUGCCUAACACUGGACAAAUAUGUAAGUAAUAUCAUUUAACACAGAUUGAUCAUCAUAAUUCCAUGUCAACCACAACUCUUACUUUAGGUUAUCAUGUGAUUUCAUUAGAGAAUGUGUUAGUAAUAUCAUUUAACACAGAUUGAUCAUCAUAUUUCCAUGUCAACCACAACUCUUACUUUAGUGUUGUCAUGUGAUUUCAUUAGAGAAACUUGAAUCAAUACGUGCGAAGGAUAGGGCAAGUUAUGCCAAUAUGACUCCCAAUCAAAAGCACACAAAGAUGGCAUUGCGUGCGUCAGUGCGCAAUACUCUGAGCAAGGAUUCCAUAGCCAUGGAGAACCCAUUGUAUAUCCCUAAGAUUGUUCGUGAUGGCUCCAUACCCACAUGUGAUUGGUCUAUUCCUAAAGUCAGCGGAACCCUUGUUUAUAUUCAGUCUACUUCGGAGCAGAUGGCAGAUGGGGAGACCCAUGAUAUGGAUGUGAGUGAAAUAUCACGGAGAAAACAUAUAACACAUGGAGAACGACACACAUUGAUGUGUCGUCGAAACGAAGCAUUCUAUGAAAGUACUAAGAAGAAUGAGACUGCAUCGAUGGAUGAAACCUCGUCGAUGAAUUUGGAAGGCGUAAAUGGUUUAGAACACCAAACCCAAUCGAUCAUUGUUAAUAAUGGUAAUGUUCUUCCUUUGUUAUUAUAAUUCUCUAAUGGAAUUCACUGAUAGUUGUAAUGACCAUAACUUUAUGUUUUAUAUUAACAGAAAACAUAUCUCCAACGCGCGAGACUGCCCAAAAACACCCAACACACUCACAAGGCAAUGAUUAUGGUAAGUUUUUUUAGAAUUUUAAGAACAAAAAACAUUGCACAACCUAUUUGAGGCAUGGGGCUCAUAUAUAACUAUACAAUAGGUGGUGAAGAGGGCGUCAUCUUGGAGGAAGACUCAGAAGACGAGGAAGGCUACAUGUUCGCUGGGAAUGGUACUUUAGACAUGUUCCACGUUGUAGCGUGCACAUCAUGUGCAUGAUUUUAGUACUCAUAUGUUCACUAUCAUUUCAGAGGAUGACACCGAUGACGAUAUUGAAAUGGACGAGUCUGACAACGAGUCUGCCUCAGUUGCAAGCAUUCCAGAUCCCUAUGACAUGGUGUAUAGCAAGAUCCCAACAGACACACACAAGUUGAAGCCAGUGGAAGACUGCAAGCACUGCUAUGCCAAGAAGUUUGAGCGUGAGACCAUGGGGUUUUGCUGCCGUAAGGGGAAGAUCAAACUAGCCAACCCGGAUACGCCUCCUGAGCUCAUGAAGCUAUGGACGAGUGAUGACCCUGCUGCUAGGCAUUUUCGUGACAACAUCAGGUUUUUCAAUAGCCAUUUCUCAUUCACCUCACUAUAUUGUCACCUUGAUAGUGAUACCACUAACACAUUAAAGCAUCCUAUCUACACAUUCCGUGCCCAUGGCCAAAUGUACCACAAUAUACGGUCAUUUGGCAAACAAGAUGGUUUGGAUCGUAGUCAUCUGGAGCUCUACUUCUAUGAUAAUGAUCCCAGUUUAGAGCAUAGGUAUCGCAGUUGUCGCAAAGAGUAGUGCCAGAAAGACAAAGAAGUAAUCACACGACUGGUCGACAUACUUCGUGGCAACCCAUACUCUGAACACCUCCAUAGUAUGGGGCAUGUUGAUGAUAUGGAUGACUAUCACAUAACACUUAACCUUGACCAAAGGAUGGAUCAGAGAAGAUAUAAUGCGCCGACCACUUCAGAAGUAGCAGCUGUGUGGGUGGAGGGCAGUGAACGUCGUAGACAGUUCGGUAAUAGUGUCAUCCUGCAUGGGAAGAAUAUAGAUAUAUACGGAAUCAAGUCCUAUCAUGGAUGCUAUGAUGCGUUGUCGUACCCUCUAUUCUUCCCUAGAGGCGAACUUGGGUGGCAUGCUGAUAUCUCGAAGGAAGGUGUGUCCUAUGAAACUGUGAUGGCAGCUCGUGCAGCCCGUCUAGCUCAUGGUCAUAGUGAUGACUCCUCUAAUCCUGGUGAUAAAGAUGAUGAGGACGAGGAUGAUAAUGCAGGUUAGUGUUGCGCUUAGUUAUUACAUGCGCAGUUCAUAGUUCGCACUAUACUCUCCAGUUUACAACACCAUAUUUUUUCAAUUUUCUAUGCAGGUUCCAGAGGGAGACUAUGUGUAUCUGUGCGGGACUACUAUUGCUACACAUUUCAGAUGCGUCCUGGGAUAUUCAACCCAAUCCUCUAUGGUAAGCGUCUUUUCCAACAGUUUGCGGUAGACACACACAUCAAGAUAGAGAACUCCCGGUUGGACUAUAUAUGGGGCCAUCAAGAUACGAUAAGGGCGGACCUAUACCAAUGCUUGGUGGAUAGCUUACAUGUUGGUGAGGGUAGGGCAGAUGCUAUUGGAAAAGUGUUAUCUACAUCUUUUAUCGGUGGUCCACGGGACAAGAGGCGUCGCUACAUGGAUGCCAUGGCCUUAGUUCGAAAGUAUGGCAAGCCGGACGUCUUCCUCACAAUGACAUGCAACCCAAACUGGGAUGAGAUUAGGGAGGAACUCUACCCCGGUCAGACACCUCAGGAUCAUCCAGAUCUCGUUGUUCAUGUUUUUAGGGCAAAGUUGGAGGAACUCAAGAAUAAGUUGCUUUAGAAGGACAUCCUGGGCAAGGUGAGGGCUUAUGUUUAUGUGGUGGAAUUCCAGAAGAGGGGUCUGCCUCAUGCCCACUUCCUUCUCAUCAUGGAGGGGCGGUACAAGCUCACAUGCCCCGAGCAAUAUGACCGUCUUAUCUCAGCCGAGCUCCCAAACAAGAAGAAGUACCCAGAAUUGUACAAGAUGGUCGUGAAGCAUAUGAUGCAUGGACCUUGUGGUGCUUUGAAUCGUGACUGCCCAUGCACAAAAGGCCGUCCUGCUUGCAAGAAUCACUAUCCUCGACCUUUCAAUGCGGCUACGUUGCAGGGCAAGGAUUCCUAUCCGUUAUACAGACGACGUGAUGACAGUUCUAAAGCAAUGGUCCGAAAGGAAUGGCUGGAUAAUAGGUGGGUCGUCCCAUACAAUCCGCACCUCCUGCGUUACUUCAAUUGUCACAUCAAUGUUGAGGCAUGUGGAAGCAUAAAGGCUGUUAAAUACCUGUUCAAGUACAUAUACAAGGGUCAUGAUCGAGCAUCUAUUUCUCUGAGUGAGUCUGACAAGGCUAACAAAAAUGGAGGUAUAGAUGAGAUCAAACAGAUAGGGACGCUAGGUGGGUGACUCCUCCGGAAGCAUUAUGGAGGAUAUAUGGCUUUGAAUUGAGCAAGAACUCACCACCUGUGAUGCAGUUGCAACUCCAUCUGCCCAACAUGCACAUGGUGUCAUUCAGAAAGGGCCAAGAUAUCGAACGAGUGGUUAGCCAGGAAGGUGCUGAGAAGUCAAUGCUUACAGAGUACUUUGAGGCAAAUAGGUUACAUGAGGAGGCUCGGUCUAUCUUGUAUAGGGACUUCCCUGAGUGGUAUACCUGGCAGAAAAGUAAGAAAAAUAAAUACUGGAGAAGAAGGGAACGAGAUACAGGUGGACAAGUUGAAAGAAUUGUGGCAGCUCAUCCCGCGGAGGGUGAACGCUAUUACCUACGGGUCCUCUUAAACCAUGUCACUGGCGCCACAUCCUAUGAGGACCUAAGGACAGUUAAUGGUGAGAUCCUACCAACAUUUCGUGAAGCUGCAGAGAGAAGGGGAUUGAUCGAAGGAGACAACACACUUGAUGAGUCCCUUACUGAAUCUACGUUAUACGAGAUGCCAUCAUCUCUACGAAGGCUCUUUGCAACAAUAUUGGUAUUCUGUGAGCCAAGUAAUGUGCGUGGACUCUGGGAGAAGCACCUGGAGGCAAUGUCAGAAGACUAUCGCCGCAACAAUCCAUCCAAAGUUGCAGUUGAGCAAAUGGUUCUGAUAGAUAUCAGGAAUAUGCUACAAUCAAUGGGAAAGGACAUAGAGUCAUUCCCUCUUCCUGGUAUCAAUGAAGAAUAUGACACUACUUCCAGCAUGCCAAGGGAGAUCUUCGAGGAAUCCACCAUUGAGCUCAAUGUUGAUGACACAAAUCUAUCAGACUCACUUAAUUCAGAUCAGAGGAAAGCCUAUGAUGAAAUUAUGUAUGUUGUUGACAGUGAUGAGGGUGGCGUAUUGUUUGUGGAUGGGCCUGGAGGCACCGGGAAGACUUAUCUAUAUAGGGCACUUCUUGCAAAAGUCCGUGGACAGAAAAAGAUUGCAGUAGCAACAGCCACGUCCGGCGUUGCAGCUACCAUAAUGCCCGGAGGGAGAACAGCUCAUUCACGGUUCAAGAUACCGCUAAGCAUUGACGAUGGUGGGUUUUGUAGCUUCACUAAACAGAGUGGAACUGCCAAGCUCUUACAGCCAGCUUCCCUCAUUAUAUGGGAUGAGGCUUCGAUGACAAAGAGGCAGGCAGUGGAGGCGCUAGACAAUAGUAUGCGCGAUAUAAUGAGCCGACCAGACCGACCAUUCGAUGGAAAGACAGUUGUAUUCUGUGGAUAUUUCAGGCAAGUCCUCCCUAUUGUCCGUAAGGGGUCAAGGGCUCAGAUAAUUGAUUCUUCACUGCGUAGGUCUUACCUUUGGGAUUGCAUGCGCCACCUAAAGUUGGUACGCAAUAUGAGGGCACAUAGCGACCCGUGGUUUGCUGAAUACUUGUUGCGCAUUGGUGAUGGCAAGGAGGAGACCAAUAAUGAUGGUUGUGUCCGCCUUCCGGACGAGAUAUGUGUGCCCUGUACUGGGAAGGGCACUAAUCUUGAUACACUGAUAGAUAAUGUUUUUCCCAGCCUCGGUGCUAAUAUGUCUGAUCCAAACUACAUCACCUCCAGAGCAAUCUUAUCGAUGCGAAAUGAUUGUGUGGAUAGGAUAAAUAUAAAGAUGAUCAACCGAUUCCACGGAGAUGAGAUGGUGUAUCAUAGCUUUGAUUCAACAGUCGAUGACCCUCAUAACUAUUAUCCAUCUGAGUUCCUUAACACUUUGACCCCUAAUGGGUUGCCUCCACAUGUGUUGAAGCUCAAGAUAAACUGCCCUAUUAUAUUGCUCAGAAAUAUUGACCCCGCAAAUGGACUUUGCAAUAGCACGAGGCUGGUGGUUCGAGGAUUCCAGAGGAAUGUCAUCGAUGCAGAAAUUGUGCUAGGACCCCCCCUUUGUCCCAGUGAUGACGAGAUGUUCCCUUUCCAGUUCAAGAGGAAGCAGUUUCCUAUUAGGCUCAGCUUUGCCAUGACGGUCAACAAGGCACAGGGGCAGACUAUCCCGAACGCGGGUAUAUACUUGCCCGAGUCAGUGUUCUCAUGGGCAGUUGUAUGUCGCGCUAUCUAGAUCCACUGCUAGAAAGAACAUCAAGAUCCUUACCGCCCCGGCUACAGACAAUGAGAAAAAUGUCUCAGACGAUAGUAGAAGGAAUAGCUCAAAUUACAGCAAAAACAAGAGCUCCAACAAUAAGAAAAAGAUCUCAGACGAUAGCAGCAGGAAUAGCUCAGAUUACCGCAAGAACAAGAGCUCCAACUGUCCUGUUGGUAAUUACACGAGGAACAUCGUCUAUAGGGAGGUACUUACAUCAUAGGUGAGACAUCUGUCACUUAUACUUUCAGUAAUUAUGUGUACAUAUAUUUUUGAAUUAAACUAGAUAUUUCCAAAUUUUUAAUUAUGGGAGGUUUAUUUUGUGCAGGUCACCUCCGUCAUGGGGAGUCAUUCAUGUUUAACACAAAGCUUGGUAUUGUGUGUUACCGAGAGAAAUUGAACCAACUGUGAUUUCAAAUAACCGUGCAAUAAUUGGUUAUAGAAAUUGCUUAACUUGAUUGUCAUACGAUAAUAUGAUUUGCUAAGUGAAGUUUGUGCUUCAAUCAAUGGGUGGUCGACAAAAUUAAGAUAUAAGAUAAUUAUUCACUGUUUGCUCAUGACAUUGCUUAACAUAAUAAUUAUGUAACAUGAACAUUGUAUUUGAAUCAUCUAUCGUCCGUAGCAACGCACGGGCAUUUAACUAGUAAAGGAGAAAAGGAACAAGGUAAUGGACCCUCAAAAGAUGGAAGCAAAACAGCCUACUCUCGUGACAUGAUUGAGCUCAAAUAUUUUGCCAUGCGGAGAACACAAUUCUUUACCUCCCCUUUAAUGUUAUCAAUGACAAUAUAGGGCAUCGAUGCCUUGUUGCAGAAAACCCUAGCAUUUCUCUCUUUCCUAACCUCAUGUGCCACUAGCAUGAGCAGCGAGGAGACCGCCUUCCUCCUGUGGCCACGGCGAAGAACCGUCGCAUUCCACCAAUCCUGGACCAAAUUUAGCCCUCCCCAAGUAGCAAUGGGAACCGACUUUUUUCGCAUUUUUUUUAACUUUGAAUAGUUUUAUUUUUUUAAAAAAAUAUUCACUUAUUUUAAAAAGUUCAUAAAUUGGAAAAUUGUUGACGAAUAAAAAAUGUUCAUUAACUCAAAAAUUAUUCAUGAAUUCGAGAAAGUGUUAAAAAAAUUGUGAAUUCCAGAAAUGCUCGUGAUUCAAAAAAUGUUCACAUAUUGAAAAAUUGUCCAUGGAUUCAAAAAAUACUCAUCAAUUCUAAUUCCAACGAAUUCAAGAACAUAUGUUCAUGACGAAUUACGAAAAUCAUUGUGCAUUUCAAAAAUUCAUGAAUUCAAAAUAUGAUUGUGGUAAGAAAAUGGUCACGAAUUCAGAAAUGCUCAUGCUUUCAAAUAAUGUUUCUGAAUUCACAAAAUGUUCACAAAUUGAAAAGUAUGUUUGCAGCGAAUUCAAAAAAUGUAUACAGAUCUAAAAAACUAUUUGCGCAUUCAAACACUAUUGGUGAAUUCCAAAAUUGCUCAUGAAUUCAAAAUACAAUCACGGGUAACUCAAAAAUAUACUCACGAAUACAAAAAAAUUCACAGAUUCAAAAAAAAUAAGAAAUCAUAAUAUGUUACCAAGUUUGAAAAGUAUCCGCUAAGUCGGUAACUUUUUUUGUAACUUAACAGGUCUUCAAGAAUUGAAAAUAUUUGUAUAUUUUUUAUAAAGAAUUGAUGAAUUGGAAAAGAAAAUGAAAAGAAAAGGAGAAGGAAACAACACAAAAAGAGAAAAUAGAGUCUAAAAACCAACCAAGAAAGCCUGGAAAACUGGUUGUGAAAGCACAAACAAAAGAAAAGAAAAACAAUCUGAAGCUUCCCUGAACCGCUGGUGGAACCAUUGAAAAAUGUUCAGUUAUUGAAAAAUGUUCAUGAAUUCAAAAAAGUUUGUGGAUUCAAAAACAAUUCACGAAAUCAUAAAAUUUUCGUAAACUCGCAAAAUGUCCAAAAAGUCAAAAAAAAGUGUAACUUAAAAACAUUCACAAAUUUAAAAUAUUUUAGUUUUUCAAAAAGUAUUAAUAAAUUUUGAAAAGAGAAAUGGAAAGAAAUAGAGAGGAAAGAAAAAUGAAACGAAGAAGAAACAAAAAAAACAGAGAAUAAAAAACCAAUCAAGAAACCCAAAAAAACAUGUUUAGAAAACAACAAAGAAUAAAAAAGAAAAAACCAUCCAUAAGCUUCCUAAAAUUGCGUAGUGUAGAUAUGAUAUGUGGGUUUUUUCUUCCCUUUGUUUCACACCGCACAAAACUCCCAAAGAUGCUCAAAACAUGUUUAUAAUUUUUGUUUAAUGUUCACAAAUUUAAAAUGCUUGUGAAUUUUGAAAGUAUUGAUGAAUUUGAGGAAGAAAAGACAAAUUAGAAAAUGUUCAUGAAUUUGAAAAAGAAAGCACGAAUUUGAAAAUGAAGGUGAAUUUGAAUAAUUUUUGUAAAUUUAGGAAAAAAAUACGAAUUUGAAAAUAUUUCCAAAGUUCUUGUGAAUUUUAAAAUGUUCUUGAAUUGGAGAAUAUUCACAUUUAAAAAAAUGCGGUUUUCUAAAGUGUUCAAGGCUCUAAAAAUGAUGAAAAAAUUGGAGAACUGUUCAAAGAUUUGAAAAAUAUUUUUGGAUUUUAAAAAAGUUUAUGGAUUUGAAAAUGUUCGCAAGCCAAAAAAUGUUCAUCAAAUUCAAAAAUGAAAAAGGACAAGAAAAGGGGGUAAAAAGAAAAGGAAAGGAAAAUCUGAAAAAAAAUCUUAAAUAAAACCCAAGAAAAAUGAUGAAGAGAAAAACAGAACAAAAUAAAGAAUGAAACCUUCUACAACCUUUACCCAAAGAGUUUUCCGCUCCGCUUUAUAUAUAAAGCAACAAUCAUACAAAUACAUCCAUACAACACACAUAGAAGGCUAGAUACAUGGCACCCGCAAACAAAAAGGGUAGAUACAUGGGUGUUAAUGAACAACUACUCUACCCCAAAACACUCCAAGUAAACUACACGAGGAAGCCGCUUGAAGUCUUCGGAGUUCUCAACCGUGAAUGAAUCACCACGAAGAGACGGAGCCGUGUACGAUAAGUCGGGUACUACACCAAUGUUUGCCCGACUCCGACGAGGGAGAGGCGAUGACUGCGGCGCCUUCGGCUCGCUUCAGUGCAUGUAGUCAUCGCUAGGUGGUUUAUGAACCUGGAUGUAAAUUUGACUUCUAGUGUUCUUUGUAUUACCUUGACAGAUGUUGAAUAGAUCGGAAGUUUUCUCGCAAAAAAAAGAGGCGCGAAAGCGGAGCGACGCCACCGCAUGAUCCAAGGAUCAAGGUUUCCCUCGAAGCAACAUGGAGGACGAAGAGUAACUGCGACGACGCCUUCAAGAAGGAAAUGACGCCCGUAGGCGCCGCCAUCAUGGCGACCAAGAGGGAGAGGCCUUUGGAGUGCAGGUAUUUUCUGGCACAGAGGUGUCAGAAGUAACGUUUCAUUUAUUCAAUCUCUCUUUUUUUGGAAAAACAUUUUUUCAAUCUUACUUGACAGUCAACCUCUGUCGUGCAACCCAAUUUAAGGAACCAGGCAACCGCGUGUCUCUAUGUAUACUAAAGCAGUUUAUAGAUAUCCUGGUAAUGUGAACUGAUUGUCACUUUCACGUUUGAAUGGUUGGUGCAGACUGAUAAGAUCUAAGUUGAGCAUAACUCUGCAGAAGAAAGCAACACAAGCAGGUUGCCACAAGUUAUGUGCCGUAGAAACCCAUAAAGAGUAGCUUCGACGUCGAAGAAACCUUCUUCCCUAAGAUCUCACGCAUGGCGAUCCUCAUAUCUUCCAUUGCUUCCAAAGCCUUGGCGCUCUACACUCCGGAGAUUUCUCGGCAUCGAAGGAGCACAGUUUCAUUCGCAUCGGCUCAUCGCCCGCGAAUCCUUGCCAUGAAGUUCUGGGGCGCCAACCAUAACCUGCCGAUCAGGAGAGCAACACAGUAAGUGCCUUCUUGUUCUUAGGAUGCAGUUACUGUACAAGAUCGUUCAGUAUAUUUCACGUGUCAUUUUCAGAAUCCCCGCAGCUGUUCCAGGCCCCCAAAAUUUACCAAGAGGAAAUCUCCCUAUGCCCAACAUGCCUUCAUGGUGAGUGCAGAGGGGGUACGGUUACACGCGUUUCGUCGAUUUCCUUCUCACAUUCACAGGCUAUGUAUGGUUCUCUCAGGGUGACCCUGGUCGUCGGUGCCGUCCUUGUUGCAAUACCGAUUUAUAGAAAGAUAAGAGCAUUGGAAGGUAAAUCUGAUUCAGAUAUCCACGACUUCUGUAUAUGUCAUCUGUUGAUCUUAGCGUGCAUUUUCAUCUCAACUUCUGUCUGGUUGUAAUUCUAAAUCGCAUUUGUAGAUAAGGUGGAGAAGACAGCAGAGGUGGCGGUCGAGGUAAUCGACACGGUGGCCGAAGCUGCCGAGAAAGUCGCCGGCGAGGUCGCCGAAGCGUUUCCCGAAAAUGAAGGCCUCAAGGAGGCAGCAUCCAGGAUCAAGGCCGUCGCCGAUGCGAUCGAGGAGGACGCCGAGAAAGCCGAGGCACUAAUCCAUAAGGUUAGGUUGAUUGCUUAGUUUAUUACUUGCACGUUUUGGCUUCCUGUGAAUCCAAAGCUGAAAGUUCCUCAACGUUUACACUACGGCAGCUGCUGAUGUUCAGUGCUGUUGCUUAACUAGGUCAUGGUGCAGCCGUGCAAGUUACCGGCCAUUCCAUGCUAUAUCCGCAAGUUAGAGAUGCGUGUUGACUUCUGGAGUUAUAGGGACAAGCAUGUUAAGCAGCGUUGCUACACUACUUAUGUAGCGGAUAUCCUCCGGAUAGCAUUUGCUCCUGCGCGUUAAAAAUAUUUUUGCAGAUAUAAAAAGACUACAAAUUUUUUUUUGGACAUGGACAUGUUCAUGUACAAAUAUUAUCUGCAAAUGCUUAGAGGAAAAGUCCAAUCAUAUUGACUUGUGCAGCAAACCAAGUUGAGUGCCCCAUGUUUAGCAUUUGUAGACCACUGAAUCUUGUUUUUUGGCCGACGAACAAAAUUGUGCAGUUUCGCGUGAAAAUUGUCAAACAUCCUUGAACACUACAUGGAUAUGUGAAAAAUCAGAUUUUUAUUUAUUUAUUUGAUAUACAUUCUGAAUUUACUGUUCAUUUGCUCUGGAGAACCAAAACGUCAUGCUAAAUUAGAUGGCAGCUAAUUGGUACUCCCUCCGUCCCAUAAUGUAAGACGUUUUUGACACUACAUUAGUGAUAAAAAAUGUCUUACAUUAUGAGACGGAGGGAGUAGUACACUGAGCAACAUGUGGGGCACUUACUGCUUAGCAUGUGAUGAUAUUCGUUGUCAUGUAGGAGGGCAUAAAUGAAACUCUCUAUCUUUCCUGGUUAACGCAGGUUGAUGAGAUAACGGAAGAGGUGGAUUCCGUGGUCGGUCCUAUCAUCGACGCGGUCAUGAAGGAGAGUGGAGAAAGAGGAGUCAUAGAUGAAGAACCCAAAAGGAAAGAAACGGACAACAUAUAAGAAACAUGUCUUACAGGCAAAUAAAUAUAACUAGUCGUCGACCGUGCAUUCGCACGGGGUGUAUAUAAUUAUAUAUACAAUGUCGAAUAAUAACCAGUAACAGCUCGAGUUCAUCAUUAUCAUUUGGCCUUUGUCUUAUAGUCAUGAGUUUUUGUUUCAGUACAGAAUUCUAGGAAACGUAUACAUAUUGAACUGCUUGUGUUUACAAAAUUACACUAACUUUACAUUGUUUUCGUAUCCCUUAAAGCUCACCAUAUCUGGUAGUCUCCACUAAGAACACUGAAGGAACGGCCUACCCAGCAGAACUUUUUACCCGUUUUUCUAUAUUAUCAGUCACAUGAAUGUUUUCUCUAGUCAGUCACUUUUUCCUUUUUCCAUUUUAUUUUUUAUGGAAAUAUAAAUAUAUUUUGAUAAAUACAACAAUAUUUGUUAAAGCCAGAACACUUUUCCGCCUGUCCCUCUGCACGCGUGUGUGAUUAUGAGGCAACACCAAUGAUAUCAAAUGCAACUCAUUUUUCACGUGUUGAGAAGUGAUUAAUCUCCAAUAGUGUAAAUUAUAUGAAUGUAUAUAUGCAGGUUCUAUGCAAUGUGUGUGCAACUUAUACUACUGUCUAUAAGUUGUACUAUUAUUUGCUUGAUCUUGAAUAUUCUACAAUAGUGUAAAUUAUAUGCAAACCAAGUGUGAUUUUUUAUUGUUUAUUUUAAGUUUUUUUUUCUUCAUUUCUAUUUUUUCAGGGUAAUACCAAUGCACUUAGUUUAUUCUACCUUAGAACCGCUUUCACUUUUGUUUUAUUUCUUUGUAUUGUUUCUUCUUUUAGGGUAAUGCCAAUGCCUUUAGUUCAUUCUACCUUGAAAUAAUAAAUAUGGUUUUAUUUUUGUGAUCGAGUAGUCCAGAGGCAAUGGCCUUAUGGCCACUUAUGCGCACUGAAAUAUAUGACAUUUUUGCCUCCUUCCUACAUCUUUUUCUCAUCGUAGUGUUUCACUUUGUGUGACAUCCAUCCAUCAUAACCUUUUUUUGCGGGAACAUCCAUCAACAGUUAAACAGUGUAACAUAGUAAUAUUGAUAAUCUGAUGUUCUUGAUGGGCAAGCCAGAAUGAUAUAUUUUGUGUAUGCCCACAUUGCAUUAGGAAAUGGCAUUCAUCUUGAAACCUUGUGUCCAAAAAAAAAAUAUCUUGAAUCGUUUUGCACGGAUAAACUUGGAAGAAACCAACUUUUGAAUUGAACCUUGACAUAUCAAAAAUAGUGACUAAACUGUAUAAGAAAAUUAAGUCAACUAUAAUCAGAGGAUUCCAACUUUUACCUCUUUGUAUCUCGAAAAAAGCAUAAAAUAUCUUAAGGGACUCUUUGAUUCAAAGGAUUUUUAAAGGAAUUAUGUUGAUUCUUGAAAAAAAAGAAUUUUGAAGGAUUCUAAUCCUUAGGGAUUUUUUCCCUAUGUGGAUUAUUUGAUUCAUAGGAUUACAAUCUAAUAGCCUGCAAGCCAAACAGGGUGGUGUAGCACUUUUGUGUAAGAAUCCCAAAUCAUAAUCGUCCCAAUGAAGAGCCAAGGAGAAUAUUUAUGAGUAACAAUUCUGUCACACACAAGUUGUCACGGUUCUUAUGUGAAGUAUCUGCUUUUGAUUCUGCAGACGUUGUUAGUGUCCCAAGAAGAAAACGAAGCAGAAUGAUAAAUAUGGUAGAUUUGUGAUAACUAGAACAAUAGUAACUUGAAAGUAAAGAACAUAAAUAAAUAGAAAGUAGAAGUGUUUUUCUUGAAUGGACAGAUUAGACAUGGAGAGAUUCAGAUCAUGGUAUACAUCAAAUGUGCAUGUGCGACGGUAAUACCAGUUAUCUUGUAUCAUGAGUUUAGUAUUUGAUUUACUCAUUCGGUAGGUGGAUCACCCUAAGGUUACAUAACUCCUCCUUGUAGGAUUAUAUUUCAUACUAUGAUCUUGCGUCGCCGUUGCCACAUCAUGGUAGUCUCCACAAUUAAGGUCGUUAGGCCGGCACCAUGCAUUAAGUUCGAUGUAUCACCAUUAUCUCAUAUUGUCUUCGGUCCUCAUAGAUGUAUCCACCUGUCACGUCAAAGGUCGCAGAUUUCCUAAACAAUAUGUGUUACCUGUAUAGGUCUUGAGAUCAUGUUGCAUGGGCCUUUAAAUUGGACAACACACUUUGUUGGGGAUAUAACUACUGAGUGUAAACCGCCCAGGAGGGGCCGAUUCACCCUCAACUAUAUUGAAGCCCAUGAAGACUUAGAAGAUGGCGCUUUACUAUGAAACUCAGAGGCCCGGAGCCCAAGGGCGGAUUAGGGCCCAUAGUGGUAAACCGCCAUAUUCAUGUAACUUGUGUUGUAAGAUAAGGAAAGGAGAGACCGAGCCGAACACUUGUAUGAGUCGGCCUCGGGACUCUGUAGACCGGUCGGGCGUCAACCCGUGUAUAUAAGGGGACGACCCGGCGGCGGUUCAGGGACAAGAAACACAACUCGAUAGCCAGGCAUAGCUUGUUUAGCUCCCUGGUUAGCGAGACCCCAAUAAUCCCAUCACAACUAGAUGUAGGCCUUACCUUCCUCGAAGGGGCCGAACUAGUAUAAAAUCCCUCGUGUCCUUUGUCCGGUUUAACCCCUUUAAGCUAACCUGCGGCGAUGGCUCCACGACUAAGUCCUUACAUGAGGACAUCUGACGUGAUAUUUCCACGACAGUUGGCGCCCACCGUGGGGCUAUCGCACGAUGGUUUCGAGUUCUUGAAGGGCAGCUUUGAAGGACUCAAAGGAUACGUGGUGGGCCGGAUGACCAAGAGUCGUCGCGGCAAGCUCUACAUCGACGAUGCAGGCUGGGGCCCUGAGGCCGGCUCAAUCGAGUAUGGGUACCGGGUCCCCUUCGGCGGAAUUCACGUCUUCAUCGGCAAGAUCGGCGAACCGGGCCAUGAGCCGGACAUCUGCACCGACCUCGUCGAAACGGCUCAGCAUGCAAGUCCCGCCCGGAUUCAGCCUGCCAUGAAGCGUGCGUUCGUGGGAUGUGUCCACGGGAUCGGAUCUGAACCGGUGUUUGAGGAUGAGACGGUCGCUUAUUCCGACGGCGAAUCAUCCGCUGGUGAAACCGAAUCCUUGUACCAAGUUUAGGAUGGCGUGUUUGAAGGGUAUUCCGAUGGCACUAGUAUUCCAGAAUUUCUUGAAACGCCGAACCGCGUUGGUAUCUUCAUGGCCGGAACACAGCCAACUUUACAAAACUCUAUGGCGGCGGCGGCUGGACCGGUAGUAGGGGCAGGAGGCUCCAUGCGCCGGCCGGCUCAAGUUCUCUCCGAUUUGAUGGAUGCCUGGGCGGCCUUGUUAACCACGACAGUUACACCAGCGACACAGGAUCAGCACAAUGCGGACAUUGCGAGUCUAAAAGAUCAGAUAACACAAGCCAAAGCGGACUUAGCGGCUGAGGAAACCAGGAUGGCGGAGGAACGAGCCGCUUUAGAUGCCCAGACGCAAAGGAUUCAAGCUAAGAAUUAUCGGCUUUUGAUGGAUCAGAACACUUUAAAUCAAGUAUCCAGGAGGAAACAUCAGUCUCGCUUGUCGGCGGAUUACAACGCAAUGAAUCUCUUUGCAACGCCAGGCGCAGGAACCAGUAACCCGCCAGUAGUAAACCGGGAUACCGAUCCAAGGACCGGGGCUCCGGAUCAACCUCAGGUGAUGGGUCCACCUCAGCGUAUGGACAACCCGCCGCGGUAUACCACACCGCUGUCGGGUCACUUUUCUACCCCGUUGGACAAUAUGAUAGAAGCAGCAUCCCGGUUGGCUGCUAUUCCGAUUGAAGGUGAAUCGCCGGUAGCGGUUGAGACACGGCAGGCCAGGGAUCUUCUUCAAACAGCUUUGACACAGCAGCAAGCUUACUCAUAUAGCCGAGACAGGGUUCACUCAACUCCACGACCGAGCAAGAGCUAUAGCAGGCAUAUAGAUGAACCGGAGGUGUCUAGCAGUGUGCGGCACUGCAUUGUCCCUCAAGGGCCUAAUCCGGUGCGUGGUGAUACGAACGCUCAGGAUGUGGUGGAUAAUGGCAGAGCAUGAAGGGAGGUCGCUUUGGCAGCACAACAUACGGGGCGAUACCAACCCGCCCCGGUUCAGCCGGCAGCAUCAGUGGACCGAGGCGUUGGAGUUGCUUUCAGCUCGUGGGGAGUGCCAUGCCUUAUUUCGGUUCUCUGUAAUGUGCGAUUGCCUAAGGACUUCAAGGGCCCACGUAAGGUGUCGAACUACACUGCUGAUUAGCCACCCGAGGCGUGGAUAGAAAGUUAUGAGAUGGCAAUGGAGAUGAUGGACGUUGCUGAAGCGGCUUGUGCAAAGUACUUCACGAUGAUGUUGGAGGGAACAGCCCGUACUUGGUUGAAAAAUUUACCACCUAACUCCAUCGAAUCAUGGGACCAGUUGAAGGCCCGGUUUAUAGCCAAUUUCAAAGACACAUGUAAGCAGCCUAUGUCCAUUGUGGAUCUCGACGCCUGUGUGCAAGGGGAGAACGAGUCAACAACUCAUUGGGUGUGCCGGGUUUCAGAAGUCUUGCAUUCAUCAGACCGUAUUAAUGCUGGCUCGGCAAUCAUCACCUUGGAGCGUAAUUGCCGGUUUAAGUCACUAAAGAUGAAGUUGGGACGGCUCAAGCGCCAUUGCAAUGACAUGGGCACCCUCAUGGCCGCCUUGGUCAAGUAUGCCGAUUCUGAUAAUACCAAGGAUCCCGAUUCUGAUGAGGAGAAACCGGAGAAGGGAAAGAAGAACGACGGUACAAAGGGACAGCAGCACAACCAAGGAGGUCAUGGGAAUAACGCUAAGCGUAAAGCGGAUUCAGAUUUUGUGGCUAAUGCUAAUGUGCAGCAUCGUAAGGGUAAACCGCCCCAGCGCGGUGGCGGAAUGAAUCUGGAGCGUUUGUUGAAUCCGCCUUGCCCAAAACAUGGGACCAAGGAGGUUCCUGCAACACACCUUGGAAAGAUUGUCACAUUAUGAAGGAGUUUAAAAACUCUGAUCUUUUCUGGUACGAUCAGGGUCCAUCAGGCGGUUCAGGUCCAGGUUUUCAUGCUGGCGGUGGUUCAAAUUCUGGAUUUCAGAAUAAUCAGGGCAACCAAAACAACCAAGGUGGUAAUAACCAGCAGAGUAAUCAAGGAAAUCAGCAGCAGUCGGGUUACCAGAGUCACCCAAAGCAGUUGAAUGGUGGGCAGUAUCAUGUGUUCACCACUAGUUUGUGCAAGCGUGAUCAGAAGCUUCACAAGAGGGUUGUUAAUGCUGUUGAACCGGCAGUACCGCGUUACCUGCGAUGGUCCAAGCAACCUAUUGUAUGGAGCAGAGAGGAUCAUCCGCCCCGAGUUGACAAUCCGGGUCACCUAGCUUUGGUGGUGGCACCUCAGGUGGGAGGUUAUAAGUUCACCAAGGUACUCAUGGAUGGAGGAAGCAGUAUCAACAUUCUGUAUUAUGAGACCUUCCGUCGCAUGGGGUUGACAGACAAGAGUCUUAAACCGUCCAACAUUGUUUUCCAUGGUGUGGUACCAGGUAAAUCGGCAUAUCCUGUUGGUAAGAUCGCUUUGGAAGUUCUGUUUGGUGAUGAACAUGAUUCCCGGUCUGAGACAUUGACCUUUGAAGUGGUAAGGAUCUAGAGCCCGUACCACGCACUGUUUGGGAGACCGGCUUAUGCAAGGUUCAUGGCAAGGCCUUGUUAUAUUUACUUGUAGCUCAAGAUGUCGGGUCAUAAAGGGACCAUUACGGUUCACGGAAGUCGUAAAAUCGCUUUGGAUUGCGAAGAAGGUGAUGCGGCCUAUGCUGAGUCGGUUUGUGCUGUAGAGGAGCUAAAGUUUUAUAAGGAAAAUGUUGAUCCGGCAGACAUGACCCCUCUGAAGAAGCCUACCACUGAGCAUGACCCAACCCUGCAUUUCAAACCGGCUGAUGAGACUAAACUUGUUGCCUUUGUUCCUAGCGAUUCGUCCAAGCAGUUCAGCAUCAUCACAAAUCUGGAUCCGAAAUAGGAAAGCUCGCUCAUCGAGUUCAUCCGUGAGAACCGGGACAUUUUUGCAUGGAAGCCUUCUGACAUGUCAGGUGUACCGAGGGAACUCGCUGAGCACACUCUCAAUAUUGAUCCCAAGUUUAAAUCGGUCAAGCAAUUUCUUCGUCGCUUUAAAGAGGAAAGACGCAAGGCAAUUGGUGAAGAGGUAGCCCGGUUGUUGGCUGCUGGGUUUAUCGUUGAAGUGUUUCACCCUGAGUGGUUGGCUAAUCCGGUGCUCGUUCUUAAGAAAAACGGCACUUGGCGCAUGUGUGUGGAUUACAGAGAUUUGAACAAAGCUUGUCCGGCCGAUCCUUUUGCUCUCCCGCGUAUUGAUCAAAUCAUUGAUGCGACGACGGGUUGCGAGCGUUCGAUUUUUUUGGAUGCUUAUUCAGGCUAUCAUCAGAUCAAAAUGGCAAUUAAGGACCAGGAGAAAACUGCCUUCAUCACUCCCUUUGGAGCCUUCUGCUAUGUUUCUAUGCCCUUUGGGCUCAAGAGUGCCCAAGCAACUUAUCAGCGCUGUGUGCAGAAUUGUCUUCAUACUCAGAUUGGGCGUAAUGUUCAUGCUUAUGUUGAUGACAUUGUGGUAAAAUCCAGGAAGAAGGAGACACUGAUAGAUGAUCUCAAGGAAACCUUUGAAAAUCUGCAGGUUUACAAGAUGAUGCUCAAUCCGGACAAGUGUGUCUUUGGUGUUCCGGCAGGCAAGCUUCUAGGCUUUCUGGUGUCCAACAGAGGCAUUGAGGCUAAUCCGGAGAAGAUCAAAGCGAUUACAUCUUUGGCUAAACCGGCAUGCAUCAACGAUGUUCAGCGUCUAGCAGGGCGGAUUGCAGCCCUAAGCCAGUUUAUCAGCCGUUUGGGAGAGAAGGCGAUCCCUCUAUAUCAGAUGUUGAAGAAAACAGACACCUUUGUUUGGAGUGAUGCGGCUAAUGUGGCGUUUGAAGACUUGAAGUGGCAGUUGGCUGAACCGCCGGUCCUUGCUGCUCCGGUUGACAGGGAGCCCUUGUUGUUGUAUGUGACUGCUAAUGCCCGUGCUGUCAGUGUGGCAAUUGUGGUGGAGCGCAAGGAGGCUGGUAAGGAGUACUCGGUUCAACGGUCGGUUUAUUAUAUCAGUGAGGUGCUUAUCGAGUCAAAAUAGCGAUAUCCACAUUGGCAGAAGCUAGUAUAUGGGGUUUUUAUGGCAAGUCGGAAGCUCAAACAAUAUUUCCAAGGCCAUCCCAUUACGGUUGUCAGUUCAGCUCCGUUGGGUGAUAUAAUUCAGAACAGGGAAGCAACUGGCCGGGUUGCAAAAUGGGCAAUUGAACUUGGUCCCCAUGGUUAGAAGUAUGUGCCUCGAACAGCCAUAAAAUCUCAAGCACUUGUGGAUUUCAUCAAUUACUAGACCGAGUUACAAGCACCAGAGGACAAACUGGAUAGUACAUACUGGACGAUUCACUUUACGGAUCCAGGCAAUUGGAGGGCUCGGGGGCUGGAGUUGUCCUUACUUCCCCUCGAGGUGAUAAAAUUCGUUAUGUCCUCCGUUUAUUGUUUCCCUGUACUAACAAUGCAGGUGAGUACGAGGCUCUGCUCCAUGGGCUCCGAGUGGCCAAGGAGAUGAAUUUAAGCCGGGUACGAUGCUUUGCACAUUCUGAUCUGGUGGCUCAGCAAGUUUCUGGCACUUGGGAUUCUAAGGAUCCACUCAUGGCAGCUUACAGACGUGAGGUGGAUAUUGUGGCAGGUCAUUUCAAAGGGUAUCAGGUUGAGCAUAUCGAUCGGCGCAAAAAUGAAGCAGCAGACGCUUUAAGCCGGCUUGGAUCUCAGCGUAAACCGGCACCUCCCAAUACCUUUUUAGAUAUUUUGCAUAACCCGUCUGUUAAGUUGCCUACAGAGGAGGAUUUGGCUGUUCCUGAUCCGGAGGCUCAUUUGGUGGCCGCUUUACACGUUGUGCUAGAUUGGACGGUUCCAUAUCUGGCGUAUAUGAACCGGGGCGAGUUACCAGAUGAUGAAGUCCUGGCUCGGCAGACAGUCCGGCGAUUCAAGUCCAUGGUUAUUCACAAUGGCGAGUUACACCGCUGCAGCGUUUCAGGCGUGUUUCAGCGUUGCGUUUCUCCAAAAGAAGGCCAAGAGAUCCUAUGAGAAAUUCAUGAAGGGGAUUGUGGUCAUCAUGCCGGCUCAAAGUCCCUGGUUGCCAAAGCUUUUCGUCAUGGGUUCUACUGGUUGACAGCUCAUGCUGAUGUGGAGGAUCUGGUAAAGAGAUGUGAUGCUUGUCAAAAGUUUUCACGCAGAGCUCAUGUUCCGGCUCAAGAAUUAAGGAUGAUCCCCAUCACUUGGCCGUUUGCCACCUGGGGGCUUGACAUGGUGGGACCCUUUAAGCGUUCUAAGGAUAAGAAGACCCACCUUCUCAUGGCGGUUGACAAGUUCACCAAGUGGGUUGAAGCGGAGCCAGUUAGCAAGUGUGAUGCGGCUACGGCGGUUCAAUUUCUCAAAAAGAUUAUCUUCCGCUUUGGCUUUCCACACAACAUCAUCACGGACAAUGGCACAAACCUCUCUAAGGGUGAGAUGGAAGAUUUUUGUCAGAGAGAACACAUCCGGCUUGACUUAGCAUCCGUGGCGCACCCCCAGACCAAUGGUCAAGCGGAGAGAGCUAAUCAAGAAAUCUUGAAGGUAUUAAACCCCGGCUUAUGGUCCCUCUAAAGCGGACGCCGGGUUGUUGGGUGGAGGAAUUGCCUUCUGUAUUAUGGAGCAUCAACACCACUCCCAAUAGAUCGAUGGGUUACACGCCUUUCUUCAUGGUGUACGGGGUAGAGGCGGUCCUCCCAAGUGAUAUUCGUCACGAUUCGCCUCGGGUUGCUAAUUAUGUUGAACCAGACAAUGAGCAAGCACGCCAAGAGGCGUUGGACCUGUUAGAUGAAAAACGGAUAUGGCUUUAGCCCGUUUGGCGGUUUAUCAGCAAGACUUGCAGCGUUAUCACAGCCGCCGGGUCAGGACAUGGACCUUUCAAGAAGGCGAUCUGGUGCUCCGGCUCAUCCAGGAUCAAACCGACAUGCACAAGUUAUCCCCACCUUGGGAAGGGCCCUUUGUGGUCAGCAAAAAUUUGCACAACGGAUCAUACUACCUCAUUGACGUUCGAGACAAUUCACGCACUUCUGAGGAGGAAACCCGGCGGCCAUGGAACAUAGCUCUCCUACGGCCUUACUACACUUGAGCCAUAGGCUUUUCUUAUGUACAUAUUUCGACAAUGUAUAUAUUAUGAUCAAUAAAAUAAACCGGCAUCCUUUCUAUAAGCAGGGCCUCUGCUGUUUUUUCUCAAAUAUCCUUUGAGUUACAUGGGGGCUUCAGCUGACAAAGCGGAGUACUACCUGUUAAACCGGCUAUCAUGCCACAAUACAUCUUGGGAGCUUCACACCCAAGGGGCCAAAGAGAGUCUGGAUGCUAUGCACAACUCAAACAUAGGCACCCAAUGAGCACAACUCAUCAUGUUACUUGGGGGCUCCUUGUGUCAAAUACCAAGGAGUUUGAAAUGAACCUUGUAGCUGGGUAUCGACCCACGGCUUGAAAGCCUGGUAUAUUUACCUAAAACCCCGGGUUAACCUGCCUUCAUCAAGUAAGCCACUCCUAUCUAGGUAAUCCUGGCAUGACCCUCCGAACAUUUGACAGUUACUCUCAUUGAGACCUGAACUUGUCAAAGUUCAAAUGGUUUAACUCAGUGGCCUGGCAGCCCAUGAAAAGCCUCGAAUUUGGGAUUGGCAGCCCUCGAAAAGCCUCGACUACAUGGUUUUAUUUGCACUUGUCACUAUUUUUAUUUUGAUGACUUUUGUGUUAAACCAGUAUCUUUGAUCUGGUAUGGCUUUUCAUUCAUCAUAUUAACCCGGUGUUUGUUAACCCGGCUUGGAUCUCAACUAAAAGUUGACGAACCUUAUUAUUAAACCGGGGUUUAUUAACCCGGCCUGGCUUUGACUACUUGUCGCCAGUUUUGAUCAUCAUCGUAACCCGGCAUGACUUCUUAUACACCAUCAGUACAAGGUGAAGUUGUACAAAAAUUCAAGAUUUGGGUCUUCACCCUUAUUACAAUCAAAGUUGGUAAACCAACUAACAUGAUAUCACAUCACAGGUAUGAGUUAUUUCAUAUUUCUUAAAGUUUGAUUAUCAAUCAGGCUUUGUCUUGGGCAUUAUGACCCGUCCGACGGUAAACCGCCAGGACAAUUCUUUUAUGUAGACAUAGGGAUUGCAUAUUAUGAUAUAUGAGCCAACAUUGAAAUUUUCAUGACGGAUCACAUAAAGUAUUUCCCACUGCACGAUGGCAGCAGAUCAAAGUAUUUUUGCUACCCUAUUACAAGGCGCCUAAACGGCCCAAAAUAUGGAAUUGUCUUAAACUGGACAGUUUGUGCAAUAUCAACCGGAUUGCCGGAUCAAGCAUCAUCGCCAUGUUGACGUGAAGUAGAUGGGUCAUCUAGCGUCGGUUCAACCUCCUCAUCCCCAUCCAGUGGUUGGAAGUCAGCGGUGGUCCAGUCAAUCCGGGUUAAGGCCUGAAAGACAACCUCUUCACUUAUAAGAUCAGUCGGAUCAACGUCAGGGGCAUAAGUGUGCUUACGGGUUGGCGGAAUAAGAUUUUGCACUUCCGGAAUGAUAGCCUCAACCCGUUUGUUGUCAGCAUCAUAGAAGGACCGGUGAACCGUCAAGUUUUCUUCUUCUGCCAACUGACUCGCCAGAGGACGCAUCUCCCUUGUCACACAUUUGAGGGCGUUGUUAUCAAACACCGCCCCAUUUUCUUGUUCACUGGGAAAGCCCUUGGCAAUAUCGAUUGGAUCAAGGUCAGCUAUCCAUGCCUUGGCUCGGGUGAGUGCUAACAAAGCGCCAGCCCUGGCGGCGGAUCGCUUCACCUCUUCUAUCUGAGCUAGCGUCAUAGAUAACCUAGCCAGAGUAUCCUUGAUCAGUGUCGGGGCCGCGUUGUCAUAAGAAGUUGCGCAGAUAACCCGUUGGGCGCCGGUAUACAUUUGUCCAAUCAGCGUAUAGGCGGCCUCGAGCUUCCUCCGCAUAUCAGAGCCCAGAUGAGUAAUAUGGCUACCUACAACGGUUUAAGGAUUUCACGUUAAACCGGCAAAAAAUUUAAAAGGAAUAUUCAUAAAACCUUGGCAAACAAUACUUACCAAAUAUUGCAGAAGUCAUGGCAUUGACCUGGCGCUUUAAUCCAGUAAGCUCUUCCGCCACCGGUUUAUGAGCCAAUUCAGCGUCUUCCGCCCGCUUCAGCAAUCCAGCCUUUUCGGUAUCCCAUUUGGCCUGCUCAGACUUGAACCACUGUUUGAGCUGUUCCAUGGUGGUUAAGGCGGUUUUCAAUUCAUCCCUGGCCUUGGUGGUUUCUGCUUGUUGGGAUUUCAAAUUUUCUUGAAGAUCGGCAAUCUGAGAGACUUGUUGAUUUAUCUCACUCUGCAACAGUAAGAAGAGCAUGUCAAUACCUUUUUUGAAAGUCCCAAGCAUAUAACGAGUUAUACACUUGGCACUUGGGGGCUAAUCUGGAUCAUUUUUUUCUACUGAUUAUCGAAGUCCCACGGAUUAAUAUAAGUUUUAAUCAUGGCACUUGGGGGCUAAUGUGUGUUUGAUCAAAAAUACAUAAGGGAAAUCAACAAAGUACAGUAUGUAACGUGCAAAGUCCUGGUUUGACUUUCUAAAGGCAAACCGGCCCUUGGGGGCUACAAUGCAAUGAAGGUACAGAGUAAAGGAUCAAACGGUUUACCUCAUAGCGCUCCUUCAUCAAAUUUACCAAACCGGCCUCAUAGUCUCGGCUGGUGAAGAGACAGUUUAAGAAGCCAGAAUGAAGGUCUUGAGCAGAUAAAUCAACAUAGUCUGACAAGUCGGUUUUGGUUUUUCCCCUUGUUCAUAAACGCAAAUUCAUCCUUGGCGGAAUGCUUGGAUAAAGCAACUGGGUUGCCUGGGGUGGUAUAUGCCGUGCCAAUAAUAACAACGUCAUCAUCCUUGGCGGGGCUUGAUGGAUUGACAUUCUCCUUAGUAGGGCUUGGCGCUUUGGCAGCAGGGCUCGGCGGUUUGGUAACAGGGCUUGGCGGAUCAACAGUUGGACUUGGAGGGGUGGCAUCAGGAGUUGAUGUAUCAACCUGUAUCUCCGGUUCAGCUUCUGGCGGAUUAACAUCAGCGCCUGGAUUUUGCGGAGCGGAGUGGUCUGUGGCAAUCUCAGGAUUUUCGCCCUCAUUUUCUGGGGUCUUCUCCGGAUCAACAUCGUCAGUAUGGCCGCUGGUCUUGGAUUUUUUACUCAAUCGGGCCUUGGCGCUACAACAUCCAAAGUUAGAAUAUGAUAAACCUAUGCAUGAAGAAACAACUUGAGAAAGUGUACUUACCCAGCGACGGUCUUGAGGGGAGGCAACUGAGUGGUUGAUGAACCGCCAGACGAGUUGGAAGAUGCCUGAUAAUUUGGAUCAGACGGAUUGAGUGGGCAUCGGAAGAAACCCUUCAAAGGAUAAAGUUUUUUGGGAGAACAAGUCACCUCUGGAUGACGUUUCUGGGUUGGUGUAUCUGGUAAACCGGACGAGGUGAUUUGCUAACCACUGUGCCGGGUUGUGCAACGUUCUGCAGCUUGAUGUGUCUUCAAAGAAAAUUUUGGAUCCAAAUGAGCAAGGGGGUGAGAUUGUCUUACUUUCCGAACUGUGCGGCGAACUCUUUGAACCGGCACAAGAUUUGAAUCGGAAGAAAGAGUGAUUACCUCAGCAUUGUCUGCAUGGCUGGCCUCAGCGUCCUCCUGGGAACAAUCAUUGUCAAUAAGAUGUAUGAAUAAGGAACCAAGUAAGUCAAGCUCUACCUCUGCGUCUGAUUCCUCAUCUUCUGGCGGAUCAGAAGACUCGGCGGUUUUCUUCUUGGAAAUUUUCUUGGUGGCCUUAGUCUUUGCAUGAGGAGCCCUGGCCGGUUUAGUCCGUUUCCAGAAGGAGCUGUUGGCCUGUGGCAUUAAGGCAAAGAGAUGUUAGCACAUAGUUAAAGCGGAGGCGAAUCAGUAAAUAUUAAGAUAAACUUUACCGCUGGUGGAGGAUUGGAGACGCAAAAAGGUGCCAACCCGGUUUGACUGCAUGCAGAGAUUGUUUCAUCGAGCAUCUUCUUCGUAGAUUCAGUAACUUCAAGGUCUGUCAUUACUACUUCAUGAUAGCGUUGAGGGUCUUUGACGUUGCCAGUAUAUUCAUGCAUCAAUCCGGGGCGGCGACUUAAAGGCAAAAUACCCCAAGAUACCCAGCAGCGGACAAGGUCAAUGCCAGUCAAACCGUUGGCCAUGAGAGCCCGGAGCUUGGCGAUUUGAGGUGCAAAGUUUUUUUGUUCCGCGGCGGACAAGCGUGAAGGUAAUGUAUGACUGUUGUUAAGCCGUUGAGGGCAGUAACCCGGCAAAGGAUUUUCUCCGGCAGGGGCAGUGUUUCGGCAAUAAAACCAAGUUUGGUUCCAAUCUUUAGGAUGACUAUGGUGUUUUGCAUGAGGGAAAUCAACUUCUUUCCUUUUUUGAAUUGAAACGCCACCAAGUUCUGUGUUGGGACCAUCAGAGAACUCCGUACGGCGUUUCAAAUGGAAAAAAAUCCCGGAACAACUCCAUAGAUGGUUCUUCCUGAAGGUAGACUUCGCAGAAUACUUGAAAAUUGCAUAUAUUGGACACGGCGUUCGGUCCAAUAUCUUGUGGAUGGAGUUGGAAGCUUGCGAGGACAUCCUGGAAAUUUUUUGAUCCGGGUGGACUGAAUCCCCGGUCUAAGUGUUGCAUAAAUACAAUCACUUCUUCCUCUUGAGGUUCAGGAGGGCAUUCAGAAUCCGGAACACGCCAAUGAAGGACCCUUUUGGAGGCUAAAGCGCCAGUGGUGACAUAUCCAUUGAUUUGUGUCUCAGUGAUCUUGGACGGAACCCAAUUGCAGGCAGAGAAUUGUUUGGCCAUUUCGGAAGAAAAACUGUGAAAGGAAAAGUAAAGGCCGGUUUACAAUUAACGGUUUACGCAAAUCACUGUUAAACCGGCAGAUUGCCAUUCAAUUUCAGUUGCCGGUUUAAGUGAGGACUAAUGGUGUAUGGCGGAUUGACUAUCAAAAGUUAAACUGCCCUUAGGCGGAAGGGACAGAGCUGAAAAAUCUGCUAAGUGUUGACAGAAACAGGUUUCACACAUCGACGGAAUUAAUUUGGAUCUACCAAAGCUUCAGUAAGAAAAAUUUUAUGUGAUCUAUAAAGGCUUUAAACAGAGCAGAGAAGUUCCUGCGUUCUAUCAAGGGAUUCUGUACAAGAAGGAAGAUCUACUAAGUGCUAAACUGGAUGCGGAGCAACUACCGCACGAGAUUUAUGCUAUAGUUGAAUCAAAGAAGCUAUGGCAGAAGCGAAUACGAAGAAACUAGGACGAACACCCAUGAACGCAGAUGAAAAUAGGAGCCCUAAAAUACAGAUCUAGGAUCGCGAGGGAGAAGCUUACCGGAUGCGCAGGAUAGUGGAGGAACACCGAAGAUCUCUGGUACAACCAGGUUGAUGCAGCGGCCUUUGUUGAUGCAACGUUCGAAGGUCGAGGGCGGCGGCGGAGCUUCAGAGCUGGGGCAUCGCGAGGAAGAAGAAGUACGGAAGGGGAAGAAAAGAAAGGGCCCCGGGGCUUAUUUAUAAUAAGGCAUAGGAUAAAUGACAGGCGCGAGAAUCGAGGAGCCCAAAGUGGCAAGUGGCGCAGCUGUCGCCUCGAUUUCCGGGAUGAUAUUAAAUGAAGGGAAUCUUUUUAUUCAUUUUUACAGAGAUGACGUCAUGAUGAUCCAUUGCUGUGUCCAGGAGAUGACUUCACGGCGGUUUAACAAGAUUUAUAAAGGGAAGACAUCAUGGCGGUUUAUGAGAAAUGAAGGAAGAUGUUUACAGGAUUUUUCUAAGUGUUGAAGAUUGACAUGAACAAUUUCAAAUCAAUUUGGGGCCUAAUGUUGGGGAUAUAACUACUGAGUGUAAACUGCCCAGGAGGGGCCGGUUCACCCUCAACUAUAUUGAAGCCCACGAAGACUCAGAAGAUGGCGCUUUACUAUGAAACUCAGAGGCCCGAAGCCCAAGGGCGGAUUAGGGCCCAUAGUGGUAAACCGCCAUAGUCAUGUAACUUGUGUUGUAAGAUAAGGAAAGGAAAGACCGAGCCGAACACUUGUAUGAGUCGGCCUCGGGACUUUGUAGACCGGCCGGGCGUCAACCCGUGUAUAUAAGGGGACGACCCGGCGGCGGUUCAGGGACAAGAAACACAACUCGAUAGCCAGGCAUAGCUUGUUUAGCUCCCUGGUUAGCGAGACCCCAAUAAUCCCAUCACAACUAGACGUAGGCCUUACCUUCCUCGAAGGGGCUGAACUAGUAUAAAAUUCCUCGUAUCCUUUGUCCGGUUUAACCCCUUUAAGCUAACCCGUCGCGAUGGCUCCACGACUAAGUCCUUACACGAGGACAUCUGACGUGAUAUUUCCACGACACACUUUGAGUUCACCACAUAAUAAUAACUUACUAGGCAGAUCAUAAGACUACAAACACAAAGGACGACAUAUAGAAUAGGUACAAAUGAAUCUUACCACUCACCUACAUCUCCCACGCCUAGGGGGAAUUACUCACACAUCGAAAGAGAAUAACCAAUCAUCUCAGAGAAUAAACCCAUGAAGACGAUAUCAAUAAUACCAUGAAGAUCAACAAUAAGAUGAAUGAUCAGACAAAUCUCAAUCCCCAUGAGUAUGAAUAGAGUUUACACCCUGAUCUUACAACUUGGAAUUCCUAUUACAAUAGUGAAGGUGAAAUGAAUGUGGAGAAUGAAGAAAAAACUAGAAGGGAUCUCCGAUGGUUCUCUGAAUCUCUUCUCUCUAUUCAGGGCAUGGUGGUGGUGGCUAGGUUUUCUCCAACGAUGUUCUCCCUUCAUGAAAGGGUUGUGUAUUGAUAAUAUGGAGCCUUUGGCACUUCAUACGACCAACCAUAUGAGCUCUUAUGCUUGUAUGGAAGGUCAUCUUUCGCUCUGGUGCGCCAGACAGCUGAGCCCCCAAUAUGUAAGUUGCUCCAUUCAACUUGAUUUUCAGUAAUUCUCAUCGGUUUCCUUCCAUAUGUGAUAUUCCUGUCAAACAAUGGGGAAAACGUAUUUUCUUAUCUCUCGAAGGAUUAGCGCUAGAAAUAACCGAGAAGUGUUAUAAAUCCGGUGAAAACCAAAUGAAAACUCCUUGUGAAUAAUCAUAAAUUCUCGAGCCGUCACAAUUCAUAGGAAUUUUUCUUUAGGAUUCACCUAUACUUGUAUUCAUAGGAAACAUUCCAUCAAUUUCAACCUUAUGCAAAGAAUCCUACAUUCUUCCGCGUCCAAUCAAACGCCCAUACUGAUCAUGUAGUCUUAAAGAUGGCAUGCCACUCGAUUCCUAUGAUUUUCUUAUUUCUCAGGGCCUCUUUAAAUUACCGCAAUACGAAACCAUGAAAAUAUUAAAAUGGCAGAAUUGAUAUGUCAUGUGUUGUGAAAUCCUAUGGGAUUUCAAAGCAUAGUAAUCCUACAAUGAGUCCUUUGAACGGUGCACAAGAAAUAAACACAUAGAUUUUAGAGGACGAGAGAGAGAGUGAGAGAGAGAGAGUAGAGAGAGAUGGUUUGAAUGUGUAUUGGAAAAAUCAGAAGAUGUUUGACCUCAUGUUGGAAUUCCUAUGGAAUAAAGCGCAUAGGGAAUGAUUCCAUUGGAAUUUGGGAAUCCUAUGAUCCAAAGGACUUCCAUAGGAUUCAAAUUGUCUAAAAUUCCUACAAAAAUCCUUCAAUCCAAAGAAGUCAUUAUGUUUUAAAAAUCAUGCAAAUCAAAAAGGCUGUAAAUUGUGAUAUCUCUCUAAAAUCUAACAAAAAUUAUUUGAAGGAAACUAUGCCCUAGCAGUAUGUGCAAAAGAUGGCGAAGUAACACGAGGUUCACUUGGACCUAGAAAACACCGCCCAAGAAAAACACAUCUACCUAGCAACCACUACCGUUGAAAACUUUAGUCGUUGCCACCAACCUUCUCAUUCUAAUUUUCCCUUGGCGCUGCUAGAGACUAGUGGUCGGGCUAAGCCCUGUCACUGGUCGAUGAAGGUGGCCGCGGGGAGGUCUCCACUUCAGUAGCCGCCGGUAACGAGAUGCGGUCUACACGUGAUGGCUUAAGGCAGAGGAUAUACCUGUGCAUCGACGGCGGUGGGGUUUUCAGCUAGGCCGACAAUCUCUAGUGAUGAGGCAUUGGUAACCACGAUCCCUUCUACAGGUACGCGCGCAACAAACUAUGGCCUUGCGUCCCAACGAGGCGGUCCUCCACUCGAGCGCGUGGGUGGCAGCGUGGUCCUGCACUGUUGGCCUGUUGUGGCGAGGGGCUAGAAAGUCUUGGACCUUCAGGUUCGCAGAAAUGAUGAGUACCGACUGGUUCUGCCGCCACAAGAGAGGACAACGGAGUAAGAUGAUGGUGUGGGCUGCCAGAGUGUCCCACAUUGGAUUUUGGCUAUGCACCUUCCUCCCUCGUCAAUCCUUGUCAUGUGCGUGACGUCGACCUUUAACGUUCAAAGCCGUCAACCGACUCUUGUAGUGACUCGAUCGCAUACUUGUGCAGGCAACCGCGUGGCAUUUCAUGUCAAGAUGGAGCUACACUUGUUUGGGAUUGCGAAAAGUGGUGGCGACAACACGAGAUGGUUUUGAUUUAUUGGUGCUUCUUGAGUACCUGGCCUUGAGCUCUGAGAUGAAAAUUCGUUGUCCAAUCCUAGUUGGUCAUACUUGCAAUUUUGGUGUUUUUGUGUUGUUAUCUUGUUGAAGGCAUUGCUUGGAAUUUCUUGGACUUGAUUUUCAGGACGAAAACCCUAACCUUUGGUGCUGGAUUAGGUCGCAACGCUUUUCUGUUAUUCCUUUUCUGAUGGCGUUGCUACCGGGAAAGUUUUCUUAUUGUCUUUGUGUUGUCAUGAGAUAGUUGGUGUCCAUGAUGUUUGUGUAGUUUGUUGAUCAUAGUUGGACGUUAGUGUUGAUUGUGUUCAUUCUGAGUGUACGGUUCAUUGUACUUGUAUUCCCUCGCUUUUUUUUUGAGUCCAUAAAAUCCACGAUUUGUCGCUCUUCGUUGCCACGAUCGACGCUACUGGUAAAAAGGUAAUUCUCUCCCGGCCGUCGGAUCGGUCCGUCGGGAUCACAGAUUAACCUACUCGUCCAGACGGUGGGAAAAGGGCGCCCUGAGGCGCCGGCGCGUUGGGCGCGGCCGGCCACAUGCCCACAUGGGCGCGGUGCUUUGAACCUCCCGCGAACCAACAGCUCGCUGCACCUGCACAUGCCCCAGCUGUCCGAGCCAAUCCGGGCACAUGGCCCGGCUCUACCUCUACCUGCUGCUCCUACUCGUAGCCGAACACUAUGCACAGCAACCGGACAAACUUUCUGCUAUAGUACAGCUAGUUUUCUAUGGCUAGCCCCGUCAGACUGGCAGAGCUAUCUGUAUCUGGCUUCUCGCCGUUUGGAUCGUGGCCUCGUGGGCAGGUCAAGCUCAACAGAUGCAGGACAGACUGUAAAACUAUGCAAGGAGCGGCGGAUCUGGCCCUCCUCAUCAGAUGUUCUCUUCGUUUUUAUUGACAACAUCCACAUACAGUUUCCAAGAAAUAGUAUAAUGCCAUUGCGGCCUAGCAAAAUCUUAGGCGUUCUUUGUGCGUGUUAAGUGGGAUCGACGGCCUUUGGUUCAUAUUCAUAGUCUCUGCGUCGAGUAAAUCAAAGUUCUUCUUCUUAGCUUGAUGUCCUUUUCUCUAGCUAUCUGAAACUGUUCUCUAAUAGCUGAGUGAAUAAGGUAGCAUCGUCACAGCGUUAUGCGCACGACCACAAAGUAACAUCUCAAGAUCGAGCUCCCAGCAUAGAAGAAUAAUGGUGAAAUGCAUAAAUUAAAUCAAUGCUCGUAAUUACAGCAGAAGAUGAGGGUACACCAAUGUGCGGACGGAAGGGGGCAAAGAGGGGGAGAAAUGGAACAAAAGCUGCAAAGAAACAAUGAAAUGAUACAUCGUCGGGUCAUCUAGAAGACGUAGAUGGCGGCGGCGGCGGCAGCCAGCACGAAGGCGGGGCGGAGACCAGCGGCGCCGCUGCCCGGGGUGGCGGGCUCGGCGGUGGGCGAGGGCGACAUGUCCGGGGUGGGCGCCGGAGGGGAGGACAUCGGGGAGUCGGCGGGCGCCGGCGCGGUGGCGGAGGGCGUGGGGGCGACGGUGGGCGCGGGCGCCGGGGCCGCGGUAGGGGGCGGGGACACCGGCGCCGGGGUAGGGGGCGCCAUUGCCGGGGGCGGGGUCGCCGGCGGUGGAGGCGGGGCCUGGGGCGCUGCCGCGGGGGCCGCUCCGGGCGCCUGAGCGGUGGCGGCCACGGCCAGGAGCGCGAGGACGGAGAGGAUGGUGAGCUGAGAAGCGGCCAUUGUGCAAACCUUUGGGUGGUUUCUUGGUGGCUCGCUUCUCGCUUCCUCUGCCUGCGCUGUGAGCUGAAAUGUGUGUGUGUGUGUGGGUGGGGGAGCGAUGGAGAGGCGCGCCGGGGCUUAUAAAGGAGGGCCGGAACUGAGCUGUGCGGUGGCGUUGCGUGGGACAGCGCCGAUGCAUUGUGCAGUAGCGGCUUGCAUGAUUGUUG
rnacentral:lncRNA from 1 species